rnacentral:lncRNA from 1 species
UUUUUUUAAAGAAAUAUUAGAAUGAUCACAAAUAUAUAUCUCAUACAUUUCAAUUCAAUCUUAAUUUAAUCCUAGUUAAAAUCCUAUUGGACUUCAUUUAAACUUUAAGCCAAAACUAAUUAAAUCUUAAAUCCUAAACAAACUUUAAUAAAAUUCUAAACCCUAAAUUAAACUCUAAAUAAAAUCUUAAUUAAACUCUGAAUCCUAAAGAAAAUUCUAACCAAACUCCAAACCUUAAACAAAAUCCUAAACAAACUCUAAACCAAGCCCUAAUCAAAUCCUAAAUCAAACCAUAAACCUUAAAUCAAAUCCUAAUUAAAUCCUAAAUCUUAAAUCAAAUCCUAACCAAACCCUAAAAUAAAUCCUAAACUCUAAAUGACAUCCUAACCAAACUCUAAAUCCUAAACCAAAUCCUAACCAAUUCCUAAACCCUAAACUAAAUCUUAAUCUUAAACAAAAUCCUAAAUUCUAAAUAAAAUCCUAACCAAACUCUAAACUCUAAACCAAAUCCUAACCAAAUCCUAAAUCCUAAACCAAAUCUUAACCAAAUCCUAGUAAUUCUCACAAUAGAUUUAAACCUCAAUAACUAAUGAAUGAACAGUUGAUCUUAACUCAAAUUUUAUAUGCUUUUUAAAAACUAAGUUAAAAAAAAGCAAAUUUUUUUUUAAAAGGAUCGAAAUUACCAAAUAGGUGAUAACCUCAAAAACGUACUCAGAUAUUGGUCGGCCUUCUUCUCAAACCUUAAUGCCAAUCUCCCAGAGCCAAUAUCUCUUCUUUUUACCAUUUUAUUGAUCUAAAAAUUCUCAUAUAUAUAGAAAAACAAGUCUAAUAUCCUUUCACAUAAAUUUCAUUCCAAUCCAACUAAUAAAUUGUAAGAAAUCUUAAAAAUCCUCACUAGAUUUAAAAUUCUAUUUUUUAAAAUCUUAACUCAUUUAAACUUCAAUAACCUUCAAUUCAACCAUUAGAUCAAAUUCAAUUUCACAACACAUAUUGAAAACAACUAUAAUCAUUAAUUUACAAAAUUUCACCUAUAGAUCUAUUAUAAAACUCUUGAAAUUAUGCAAAACGUAAACUCUAUUUUAUUUCACAAAACCCAGGGCAUCCAAAACAAAACUUGACUUUAAAAAGCUCUUACAAAGUCAAUAAAGAUUUAAAUUACCUAAAACCAAUGCUUAUUGAAACUCUAUCUAGUCUCCUAUCAAAUCUCAUACUCCAAUCUGCCAAAGAGUUCCAAAGUCAUCGUUGAGACUUGGUUUUGUGCCUUAGGGUCUGAUUUCGACCUUGGUUCAUAAGUGGCCUUCUCUGGAUAUCAACAUCUAGUUUUUUUAAGUAAUUUUUACUAGAAUUUACUUUUAACUUCCUCCUAAAGAUGUCUAUAUCAUUUAUUUUUCUAAUCUAUCUUAUUUUGCCUUAUUUUUGGCUCUACAAAGUAAGUAGAAGCUAUUUUUUUCUAAAAAGGUAGCAUUACUACUAAAAGUUUUACUAUCUUCCUAUCUUUUAUUCAUAUUUUUUUACUUUUUCUUUUAACUUGGAUCUUAUUAUAGAAUUCUAUAAUCUUAUUAUAGAAUUCUAUAAUAAGAUUCAUAUUAUCAUCUUUUACCAUAUAGUCGUGUUAUAACACGAUACCAUAAGACGACUAGAAGUUUGUUAAUAUUAUAAAGAUGGAGUAAGGUUGCCUUCUUCUAUUAAGUCAUCCAACUCAUGAACUUGAGUGCUAUCAAAGUUUAAUCCAAAGGCAUCUUUAAUUUUUAUAUCAUCUACCAAGGUUUCUAAAUCCACUUCUAUUUCAUUGUUUUGUCAAGUGGCAAAACUAUCUAUGAAGUUAACACUUACAACUUCAUCUCUGCUUAAAGUAGGAUGAGUUUUCAACUAUUGGGUGAAUUCUCCAUCAUCUUCUCAAUCGUAUAGUCUUGGGCUCAUACAACUUAAUGGGAUAGUUUAGAAUAUACUAGAAUAAAUCAAUUCUUUUCUCCCUUAAUUGACAAAUCUCACUUUCUUUUUUUUUAAUUCAUUUUGUGGUUGUGGGUUGAGAAUCUCAUCUUCUGAAGAGUGAGAUGAAGUUUUUUCCAACAAUAUUCUUUGGAAUUUAAUGAGGAUUUUUGUGAGGUUUUUUAGCAUAUUAUAAAUAAUACGAGACUUUUUACUACCUCAAUCAAUCUUGGCACUUGCUACCUUUAACCAUGGUCUAUUUAGAAGCAAUGAAUAUGAAUUUUUGCUAGGAUGCAUGUGUAUAACAUGGAAUGUGAUAGAAUACUCUUCACCUCCUAUCAUCAUUCUAAAAUCACUAAUCUACCUCAAAGGAGUAUCUUGGCUUUGAUUAGCCAUGUUAAUCAUAUAGGAAGAGGAUCUUGUGAUACUAAUUCCUAAUUUUUCUAUAGUCUUUACUGGCAUAAUAUUUAAUCCACUACCUCCAUCCAUAAUAGUAUAAGAUAUGAUUUUAUCCACUAUGGACACUUCUAAUUCAAUUUCCUUCACAUCUUGUGCCACUUGAAUUGUUUUGAUGUGGGCAUUAACUUUUGCCUUAGACCUUUGGCGUCUCUUAAUACAUAAGUCUAUUUUAAAUACUUUUUUCAUUAUUGGAGAAACCUCCAAUAAUUGAGUAAUAGUUAUAUAAGCCUUAAUUUUAUUUAAGUCUUCUCAUAAGUUAUAAGACUCCCUUUGAUUAUUUUUUUUUAGAGGAAUUGAAAUACCACUUUCAGGUUCAAGGAUCUUAAGACCUUCUCACUCUUCUGUAGAAAGAAAUUCCUAUAUAAGGAUUUUUUUUUUCUAUUUUAGUUUUUUGAGUGGUGGUGGAUUUUAAAUUAUGGGGUAUUUUUCUUGAUUUCUUCUCAUUAUCCAUUGCCUCUAUUGUAACUUUGUUUAAAUCAAAAAAGUGAGGAGAAUCUUCUAAACUAUCCUCACUAUCUAUUGAGAUAGGAAAGAGAGGACUAGUAUACCUAGACCUUGUCAUAACUGCUAAGGCUGACAUAUUAAGAAGUCCUUUAUCCUUAGUAGGUGUUCUUUCAUGAGAGAUGUAAUGGAUGUGAAAAGACAACGAUUGGUCUCUAAGGAUUUGAGAACCUUAUUCUUCAGUUGGUAUUUCCAAAUACCUUAUAUUUUUUGAAUUUCUUCCCUCAUUUUAUUGGCCAUAUUGAGGUUGAUCUACGUUUAAUGAAAUAAAUCCUCUCUAUAUAGUUAAACCUAAGGAAAGAUGUUGGGUUUGAAAGUUAUUAUUAUAAUCAUAAAAUAAGUUAAAAGAUCUUAAGGUAUUAUCCAGAUUUGGAUUUUUUGCCCCCUUCAAUUGAUCUUGGACUUGCUAUUGUUAACUUUCUUGUAAAAAUUUUAAAAGAAACAUCUUAUCCGAUUACCUACACUCAUCUGUAAGAUGGUUUCUCUCACAAUUUUUACAUACUACCCUAUUUUCUAUUCAACAAUUCUUUGGCGGAUGCUUUUUUUUGCAAAGGCGGUGCACCUCAUAUUAUUAUCAUUUUAGGUUCUUAAAGCCUUUGAUAGAAUUUUCUUGAGGUUGGAAUUGGAAAUUGAAACUUUUCAUAUUAUGAUUUUUAUGAAGUAAAGCAUACAAUUGUGGCCUUCCUUGAUUUUGUUGGUAGUUUUGUUAGUUUGAAAAAAAUUGACUUAUAUGCCCUGAUUGGUCGCAUUGAGUAUACCAAAGCCUUGAGGUGUGUCUAUCGGAUUCUAUAGGAGGUGGGACUUGGUUUGGAUUUUGACUCUUAAUUAAAAAAGUUAUUUUUUCUUGCAUAGCCUUCAUUUGUUGGACAAGUUCUUUUUGAAACCUCCCUUGGCUUUGAAGGACUUUAUUCUUAAAGUCCUCCUUCCAUCUAUUCCUAUCUUCUAGGUAUAUCAAUUCAGGAAGGUUGGGAGGGAAUCUAACCUCCAAAGGUGUUAGAUAGUGGUACAUAGGUUGAAAUUAGGUUUCCUCAGUCCUAUAUGAAUGCCAUUGGAAAUUUCUUAUAUUUUGAACAUGUAUUGGGAUGAAGCUGGGUAUUCUAUGAUCUUUUUUCUUCCACAUUCAUUCUUACUAUUUAUCAAUAUUUUCAAUUAUUUGAGCUAACUUUUGGCAUUGUCUAAAUUACGUAGUCUUUUCUAGAGGAUUUUUUGAAUUAUUCCCUUACUAUUAAAUCCUUGAAUAAAGAAAUAGAUGAGGGUAUCAUCGGUGAAAAGAAUUCCUACAAAUUUGGUUACUAUAAGCUCAAAUCACCAAAUGUAUUCUAUAAUUUCUUCUCUCUUUCCUUGUCUCAAAGAAGAAAGGGCUGUGAAGGCGUUACUUUGUCCUACUUCUGGCCUGAAAUUUUCUAAGAAUGCUCUCAUAAGCAUGUCCCAGUUCUUAAAGGUUUCAAGGACAUGGUUUCUAUACCAUUCAUAAGCUCCAUCCUUUAGGGUACUUGAAAACCAUACUAGAUAAUAAUCUGGAUUGGUUAUUAAAUAGGUCAUGAGAAGUUCUAUGAAUCUCUCCAUGUGUGCCAAUGGAUCAUUAUUUCUAGUUCUUUUAAAUAUAGGGAGGUUGUAAGACAUAGGAGUUGCUUGUAAAUUCUUAGGGAUUACUAUUGGCAAGCUCCUUGAUUGAACAAAGGGAUUGAUGGAUAAAGGAGUAGGUGUAGAUUCUCUUUUAUAUUCUAUUAGAGGAGAAGGAGGUAUUGACCCUUCUCUCUCUUGAUUUAUCCUUAGAACUAAGUUAGGAGAAUUAGGAUUCAAUCCUUUCUCUCUUACUUCCUUGCUCAAACUUGAUUCAAUUGGAUUUGAUAUAAAAAUAUCUUCUAAUGUUGGAGGUGAGGAUUUCUUGACCAAUGAUUGAAUCUCUACUUGUUUGAGCUUUGAUUUGUUUUUCUUUCCAAGAGAUUGAAGAUUUCUUAUAGGUGAAGAUAGGUUGGGUUUUUUAGAUCUAGUAGAACACUGCAUCUACAUGACUAUAGACAUACCGUUCAACUUAGUGUGACUUUUAAUCUAUCCAAUUCUCCAACAAUUUAAAUGUUUGGUUCUUCUACUUGCAACCUACUUAAGUACCUUCCGAUAGGGAAGGGAAAUAAAAUAGAAAAAACUAAAGGAAGAAUACUUGCUAAAGUAUCAUUUCAAGCAAGACUAUUUCUGACUUUAAUUAUUAUAUAAAAUUACUGUUAUAUAGAAGUGGAUCUAAGCAAACUUAGUUGUGAAAAAAAAUUCCAUAGUGAGACGGCAAGGAGCUCAAGCUCUCUUUUUUUCUUGUUUUUUCUCAAUAAGAUAGUUAAAAAAUUACCUACUAUAACAGUUAACAAUAUAAGUUAUGUUAUAAAAAUAAUUCUUUGCAAACAGUUCACACCACAUUGAAGAAGAAUUCACCUAGUUGUAUCUCCAACCAACUUGUCACUUAUUAACAAACUUCCAAAAUACGUGACUUCUCUCCAAGCCAAUCUCGAAUUAAACAUUCUAGGUAAGGAUUUAAGGUUUAAGGAUAAUGGAUUAAAGAUUCUAUCUACUUUCUCCUAUUCACAACUACAAGAGAGAUUGGAGACUUAUUUCUCUUACGUCUUCUUCCUAGAUUCUACCUUCCAACUCUUAGCUCCAACUCCUUGUAUUCAAGAAAUUUUCUAAAAUUUCAAAGAAAGAAUAAUUGACAAGAUUCAAGGAAUUACUUAUUUAUAAGCUAUUAAUACUUUUUUUCUUCCUUCUUCUGUUCCUUCUCUUCAAAUCACAAUCUCAAUUGUAUUCCGCUUAAGGUAGUAUUGUUCUCGUUGAAUUCAAGCUUCAGUAGACCAAAGUAAUUGAACUAAUAGAGGUGGAUACAAACACAGGGAAAGACUGGUUAUAUGAAUUGGAUCUAUUAGUGUCACAAUUGACUAUACUCUGGCUAUCUGAAAUCAAUUAUCAAACUACAAAACACCGAGGCUUACUACUUCCAUCUUAAUCCAACCCAUAAUCCAUUCUACAAUUAUCAAUUUAAUAAUACUUCUCUCAAUCACAAUUCUUCAUAAGAAAAUAAUAAAAAAAAUAAAGAAAUAGCACCAAGCUUAUCUCGGCUAACGACUCUCUAUUUGGCUCUCAGCUUAUGACUCUUAGUCUGGCUCUUGGCUUACGACUCUCAGUCUGGCUCCCAGCUUACCUUUCCUCAACUUAUUUAUCCUACCAAAAGAUGAUCCGUUGGCCAGCGGAUUUCAAAAGUUAUGACCCUUUGAAUUCUUAACCAUUUAUUCCACUAACAACCUAUUAUUACUAAUUAAAUUAUCUAAUCAUCAGUCUAAUUCUCAAAGUUAUCAAUAACCAACCAGUCUCUUAACAUAAAGUUUAUUUACCUAUUUUACAUAGCCCCACUCCUAAUUGUGUAGCGUCUUCGCAAACAUUAUUUAGCCUCAACUUAUAAAGACAUAAUAGCAUUGGCUUCUUUACUCAAUGGCGUUGGCUUACCAUCCUUUGAAUUGGUGACCUUUUCUUCUACUACAUCUUAAUCAUUUACCUCGAUAUUCGAGGGUUCUCCAUCCAAAUGUAUUGUCAAAUCUUCAUUCAAUAAAUCCAAUUCCCGUACCUGAGACUCACGUCGGGCAAUUUGGUUGUCACGCUCCUCCAACAUCUUCUGCCAUUCUUCUCUUGAUUUCAAAGAUAUCUCCAAAGGUGUUAUCGCUGAAACUGGCAUAUUGGUCUGCACUAAAUUAUUGGCCUCUUUUUCUAAUGCAGCUAGUUUAGUCUACAGCAUCACAACUUCUACAUGCAAUUGUUCUUGCCAUUCCUUCCAAUCGGUCUCCAUCCUUACUAUCUCAAACACCAUGUUCGCCAUCUUCUCUUUAACUAUGAAAGAAAACAUGAUGCUUAUAAAGAGCCUUCUUUUUACUUCUUACUAUGGUCCAAUCAAUUGAGUCGACUCCUCUCUUUUGUAAAAGAAAAUCCAUCCCGAGUUUAUGUAUAGUAAAGUUCAAGCCGAUUGCCAUUGAUUUGUGUCGUAAAUUUAGUACCCAUAAAAUCUUCCAAUUGUAUUGAACCAUUUGGAAAUCCUUCAAUAACUCGAUAUGGUCCAUGCCAUUGAACAUGAAAUUUUCCUAAAAUCUUUUUAAAUCGAUUAUCAUAAAGAAGUACCAAAUUAUUUGGCAUAAAAGUCUUUGGUCUAAGCUUACUAUCAUAAUAAGUCUUCCUUCAUUUUUGUGUCGUUUCCAUUAUCAUUAAUGCAUUGGCUCUAGUUUCAUCUAAUUUUUUCAAUUCUUCUAAAUGAUGUCGUAAUGAAUCAUGAUCUCUCAAUCUAAUAUCUAUAGCAAUUCGUAAACUUUGGACUUCCAAUUCAAUAGGUAAUAUUGCUUCCUGGCCAUAAAUCAAUUAGAAAGGGAUAGUAUUGGUAGUAAUUUUAUACGUAGUACGGUAUGUCCAUAAAGCUGCUAAUAACUUAGUGUCCCAAUUUGUUCCCGCUCUUGAAAUUAUUUUUGUUAAGAUUUUAAAUAAAAAUCCACUAGUCUUUUCCAUUUGUCCAUUGGCUCUGAGGUGAUACGAUGUAGUCUUACGAUGUUUUAUUUCAUAUUUAGCCAUGAGUGCUUCAAUUGUACUAUUUAUAUAAUGAAUUUCAUAACCACUAACUAAUUCUCGUGGAUAACCGAAUCGUGUAAUAAUAUUUUUAUACAAAAAGAUUGUUACUAUAUUUACACUAUUGGUUUUCGUAGCUAUAAUUUCAGUCCAUUUUGUUACGUAAUCCGUUGCUAUCAAUAUAUAUCAUUUUUGUCCAUUUCUCGAGGCUGGUACAAUUGGUCCCACAAAAUCAAUUCUCCAUUUUUCAAAAGAAGCAUGAGCUAGAAUUGGUACCAAUGGCAUUGCUGAAGUUCCAAUAGGUCGACCCAUUCUCUCACAUUGAUCACAAUGAUUGUGUCGUAUGGCAUGAUUUGCUAUGUAGAAAUACAUUAGGUAUCUAGCUGUAGAGAGUGUAGCUUAAAUCUUUAUAUGAUUCUUGUCUUAGCUUCCAAAACUCCCUUAAUUUUGUAUAAAACUCCAAAUAUAAUAAAAUCUCUUCAAAACAUAUUUUUCUGGCGAAAGAUUUUCUUGCUCCAAAAUUUAGAAAAUCAUAACUAUUGAUCUAACUAUUCAGUUUGUCUCAAAUUUAUAAGAUAAGUAGAAUUCACCCUUAACUUUUACCACAAAAAAACCAACUAUAAGUUCACUUCCGAUCUAAGAAAUCCUAGCAGGCACUCUAAACCCUAAUUUAUAAGCACCCCAAAAACUAUUUUUCUUAUAUCUCAAAAAUCCAAACUCCAAAUGUCAUAAAAUUUAUGCACAUGAAAUUCAAGUUCCGUGAAAUUAUUCAAGUUUACUUACAUGUAAUUACACAUUCCGUGAAAUUUUGAACCAAAACCUUAUCAAAUUGCUCAAGAUAUAGCUCAAGAAACAAACACUAGUAAAUCGGUUUACUUACUACCCUUAGAUUGCAUGUGCUGACUUCAAAAUCCAAUAACUCCUUCAUGCCAACUUGAAAUCCAGUAAGCAAUCUUUGUAUAAGGUACACAUUUUAAUAUAAAGUGUUGUUUAAGCUUUUCAUUAAAAUUAAGUGAAAAGGUUUGAAAUGUCAAAUAUUGAAUUAUUUCACUAUACUUCAAAGUAAUUACAUCUAUUGUAAAUAAUUCUACAUCAGGUAGUGCAUCAUUAAUAGGUUAAUUACCCAGUAUAUUGGAUAAUCGAGAUAAAUAGUCCGCAUUAGAAUGUGAUUUCUUUGGUCUUAUCUGAAUAAUAAAGUCAAAUUUUUGCAAGAGUAGAACCCAUUGUGCAAUAUGACCACUCAAUUGAGGCUUAUUAAUCAUAUAUUUUAAAGCAUCAUGGUCGACAUGGAAAACAAAUUUAUAACCAAGAAGAUAAUGUCGAAACUUUUAUACAGAAUAAAUCAUUCCCAAUGCUUCUCGUUCGGUUGCUGUAUAAUUUCUUUCAGUUGCUACUAAUUUAUGACUUGCAUAAUAAAUAGGAUGAUCACAACCUUGAUCAUCUUUCUGGCUUAGCAUAGAUCCAGUCAUAACAUUAGAUGCAUCUACAUAAACUUGGAAUGGUUUUGUCCAACAAGGUGCCACCAAUAUUGGUGCUGAAACCAGUUUCUGUUUCAAUAUUUUGAAUGCAAUUGUACAUUUCUUUGUGCAAAAUAGACUGGUCCCAUCGAUUGGUGGUUUCUUCAAGAGAUUUGUGAAGGAAAGGCAUAUAACUACGAAUAGAUAGAUAAAUCGCCGAUAAUAAUCGACAUGGCUGACAAAUACUCGAACACCCGUAACAGUGUCUGGUUGCUUUAAUUCUACUAUAAUCUUUAUUUUAUCCGGAUCUGUAGCAAUGCCUGCCAUCAAAACUGUAUGAUCCAAUAGUUUACCAGAAGGCACACCAAAUUGGUACUUUUUUGAAUUUAAUGAAAUUCCAUAUUUGGUACAUUGAUUCAAAUAUUGACUUAGACAUUCUAAAUGCCUGACUCGCAUACUAAAUGUACAGAAAUCAUCUAAAAAUAUUUCCAUUAAAAUUUGUAGAUAAUCUUGGAAUGCUUGCAUCAUUAUCCUUUGAAAUGUAGCUGGUGCAUUACAAAGCCCAAAUGGCAUAACCUUAUAGGCAAUGGUACUCCAAUCCAUAGUAAAAGUAGUUUUUAACUAGUCUUCUUUUGCAAUCUUAACUUGAUUAUAACCGGAGAAUCCAUCAAGAAAUGAAUAACAUUCAUGUCCAGCGACGGCAUCCAAUAUACUAUCCAUGAAUGGUAAAAAAAAAUAAUCCUUCUUGGUAGCCGAAUUUAAUUUUUGGAAAUAUUGACAGAUGCAAACUUUUCUAUUCUUUUUUGAUACCAUAACAAUUGGUGAAAUCCAUUCUCUGAAAGAAAAUUGGAUAGAUAAAUCCAACCUCCUAAAGUUUAUCCAAUUCUUCUUUUAUCAUAAGUGAGUAUUUUGGAUUAAAUUGAUGUUAUCUUUGGUGUACUAGUAUAGCAUUCUCCUCCAAUAUAAUUCGAUGGUGAUAAACUUCAGCUGGAAUUCCUUUCAAAUCUACAGACGACCGUACGAAAGUAAUUUUAUGCGUUAAAAAAUAAUCCACCAAAAUUUCUUUCUCCUUGCCUUUUAUAUCAUCAUAAAUCUAAAUGAUUUAGGAAGCCUCUCAUAUACCUAAAUUAAUUGGUUGACAUCGUGGAAUUUCAGGAGUCCUUGGACUGAUGUUCUACUCAAUUUUUAGAUGAUUUCAAGAAAACUAAGAAGAAGGGAUAUCACCAAACUUAUCUUGGCUCAGUACUAUCGUAGUCUAGCAUUUUCUUCCUCUCUCCCAUCCUCCUUAUACUACCCCGAGAUACCAAUUCCUAUACUAUGGAUGAUAACUACUUUUCCUGACUAUUCAUCCAUUUUAUCUACUAAACCACCUUUUCAACAAUUAUCUAUCCCCGUUUUCACUAUACACUAGAUAUCUACAUUUUGAAAAUAACUACUUAUUCUACAUAGCCCCACUCCUAACUGUGUAGUGUCUCCGCAAACAUAGUAUUGAUAAACAAAAACCAAUCCCCAUUUUUUUUUUUUUUUUUUUUUUUUUUUUAACUGGAUUGUUCAAUCUCUUCAAUUUCUGACGCUGGCUCUAUUUGGUCUUGUUUCAACACUAUAUCUUCUUCCUCCGACUCAUCUUGAAUCUCUGCCCUUAAUUGAGCUAUUGAAUCUUUAUUAUACGCUCCCAAUUCUUGAACUUGACCUUCUAAUUGGAGUAUUCUGGCAUCUUUAUCUUCCAGUUGUUGCUGUUGCUCUUGCAAUUUCUCCUCCAAUUUUUUAAUUUCUACUCCCAUUGAGGCAAAUGUCUGUAACUGACCUAUACUGACCGAAUCACUUUCGAAUUUCAUUACUAUUUCCUUCAAAACAAUAAUUUCUGCCUGUAGUUCAUCCGUUCUGUUUCGAUAUUGGUCACCUAAAUGUUUCUUUUCAAGCUCCAAUGCCUCCUUCUCUCGUUCCAUCUUCAAUUAAGCGUUCAUCUUUUUCUGUUCCAAUCUAUACAAUUUGUGAAUUUGUAGUAAUUCUUGUCUUUGAUUUUUUAGGAUAUGCUGAAUCUUUUGUUUCUCCUUUGACCAGUUUUCCACUCUCUCAUCCAAUUCACACUUCACUCGUAUCUUGGAUUUUGAUUCUAUCUUAAUGGCUUGUUUCUGUUUCCUGAUUUUAUAAUUUUACUCCAAUAUUAUUUUCUUGCUCGCUUCCACUUGCCUUUUUAAGCCACCCUCAUCUUCGAGCUUAUUCACCGUAAGUUGCAGUUAGGAAAUUUGAUCCAAUAUAACUUUCUUAAGAUUCCACCUUUCCAUUACAUUCCAUUGAAAUUCUAAUUGAUUGCUUUCUCUUGGAAUUGAUAUUGGUAUCAUCAUCUCUUUUGUCAUUCGAAUUAAAACUCGCUUUGGUGUAGAUAUUGGUCUUGCUUUCCGUUCUGCUGCUCUACUGGAUUCUCCCACUUCAUACACUAUUACCUCUGGACUCACUGUUUUCGUUUAUAAACUUGAAACUACUGGUUGAGAUUCCUAUUUCAAUGUAUACUUAAUUACUGAGUUUACAUAAUUAGAACAUAAUAGUGAAGCAAACUUCCCCAUCUUUCGCUUAGCUCCCAUUUGUGUAUGUGUCCUUGUGGCCACAUAAGGUACUUAAUUGAAUACCUUGCCUUCCAGUAUACCUAUUGCAAAAAAUAGUAAUCGCUUUACCAUGUAGGUAGUAUGCCAAUUCAAUGCUAACCACUUCUGAACGAAAUGCAUCCAUUCCAUAAGUUCGAGCAUAAGUGCUUCCUAUACCUUCCAUCCUUGAUUUUGCUCGAGAGACGACAUUCCUCCUUUGAAGUAGCUUCGUGGCCUGAAGUCAUUUAAUGCAUCUCUUCCCACCUCAAGUUCUUCGGUUAGUAAAUACAAGACCUUGUGUAAGAUAUUCUCAUCUAUUCCAAUCAAGACUCCUCUUACCACUUUUGAACCAUCCUCUGGAUCAUAAUUUUCUAUAUAUUUUGCCACUCGUUCUAUAUCAAUUGGUGGUAGUUUAUUCGAUCCUCACAAAAACAUAAAUAACUAUGCAUUUCUAAAAUCUCUUUACCUUUUCAAUGAUCAACAGAUAUCUAACUUCAUCGGUUCUAUGUUAGUGAUAACUAUAAGAGAUGGCGAUCCCAGAUUGCACUUAGACCUUACAUUGCGGCAUCUUUUCGAUCGUUCUGGUACUCUCUUCACUCUUUCUAUCGACAUUGUGAAAAUCAAACUUUCAAUACUUCCUCGCGCUAAUACUAUUGCUAUUUACUGUCGUAAAGCUUACAGUUCAAAGCACAAUGUCUGAAAUUUGUAACAAUGAAAUCUUCUAUGAGUGCCCCGCUCCUAACUGCUUAUUCAGGAUCCAAAUCAAGAAUAUCUAAUCUAGUGUACCUUAAUCUCAUGUCUAAUCAAGAAUGUCUAAUUUCCUGACUAGUCAGUUUUAAUAUCCAAAACUAACCAUCAAUCGUUUCUUAGCUAUCAUAAUCUUUUCAAUCGUGUCGGAUAAUAACUAUUACGAAGACUCCCUCCCGCCAUUGAGUAAAUCCGUCUCGGAUUUACGUAUAAUACAACCGUAACUGGUUUCCAUUAAUGCAUGUUGUAAAGUGGAUUCCCAAAAAAUCUUCCAAUUGAAUGGAAUCAUUAGAAAAAUCUUCCACCACCCGAUAUGGUCCAUGCCAUCGUACUUAAAAUUUACCGAGAAAGUUGUUAAAGCGGCUAUUAUAAAGUAGCAUCAGAUCAUUGGGCAUAAAAUAUUUUGGCCAUAACUUACUAUCAUAAUAACUCUUUUUGCGGUACUGUGUAGCUUCCAUGAUCAAGAGAGCCGUAGCCCUAGCUUCAUUCAAUUUCUCCAAUUGGACUAAUUUAUAUUGAAGAGAUUCUUUGUCUCCCAUACGUUCAUCCAACGCAAUUUGUAAAAUUUGGACCUCCAAUUCAAUUGGUAGAAUUGCUUCCUAAUCGUAUAUCAAUUAAAAUGGGAUAGAAUUGGUAGUUACUUUAUAUGCAAUACGAUACGCCCAUAAAGCUACAAAUAAUUUAGUGUCCCAAUCAGUUCUUGCUCGUGAAAUAAUCUUUGUUAAGAUCUUAUAUAGGAUACCGUUGGUCUUUUCUAUCUGUCUAUUGGCUCAUGGAUGAUAAGGUGUAGUUUUGCGGUACUUGAUCUCAUACUUCACUGUUAAUGCUUCAAUUGUUGCAUUAAUAAAAUAUGUUCCGUGAUCACUAACCCAUUCUUUCGGACAGCCAAAACGAGUGAUAAUGUUUUCAUAUAAAAAUAUUGCUAUGAUAUUGACAUUAUCAAUUUUUAUUGCUAUGGCAUCUGCCCAUUUGGUGACAUAAUCGGUGGCUACUAGAAUAUAACAUUUAUGUCUAUUUCGAGAGGCAGGUGCAAUGGAUCCUAUAAAGUCAAUACCCCAUUUUUUGAAUGGUGUUUCUGCCAAAAUUGGUACCAAUGGUAUUGCAAAAGUUCUAGUAGGGCAACCAAUUCAUUGGCAAGGAUUACAACGAUGAACAUAUUGGUGUGCAUCCGAAAACAUUGUUGGCCACUAAUAUCCAGCCAUUAAAGAUAUCGAUGUUCAGCUCAAUUCUUUAUUAAAAUAAAAACUAUCUCUUGCAAAAGUCUUUUUUCGGACUUUCAGGCCUUCCCGAUUGACUAUUACUAUCUCCAAAUAAUUUUACUAGUUGAAUAUGAGGUAAAAACGACAGGUUUUGAUAUACUCUGAAUUGGACUUUAUUGACAAGUGAUUUAUGUCGAUCUUUAGAACCAGUCUUGUUAAAAUCGGACAUAUCUCUAAUUGAAAAAAUAUCCAAUGAGGUACCUAAUUCUUUUGUGCCUUCCUUGCUUUUUGUUAAUGGCUUCGAGAGGUAUGUUGGACUAUUAGCAGUGCUCCUUACGAGUGCUCUUGGUAAUUUCUUUAAUGAUAUGUACUUCUGAAAUAUUAGAAGUCGAUCGUCUUCUGGGUACGAUCGAAUAUGCCAACAGGCAUGCAACUACAGCUUAAUCCAACUUUGUCGAUGCUUCUUUUUUAAUUUGCCAUCUUCCUCAUUAUGCAACAAAUUUCUUGCUUGCGAUUUCUUUGUUCUUUUGUUUGAUUACUUUAUUCUCUUUGCUAUUAAAUUCUCAUUCUUAAUAAUCAAACUCUUUUAUUAUUUUUAUUGAGUUUGCUUCUUAAUCUCCUUGACUGCUUUGGCAGUUAAUUCCUAACACUCAAUAUUGUUGUCAAUCAUCGACAAUGAAGCCAAAAUGUGAUUGUCAUUUUACUUAUUUGAGAAGAAACCUCCCAAAAUAAACCCGUAUAGGAGAAUUUGAAUACAAGAAAACAUCAUAUAUAUGAACUCCAAUUGUUAAGGUCAUACAAUUAAUCGCUACUAUUGAAUGCUUACAAUACCGAAGAACACUUAACUUUUCCUCCUACUGUCUACUCUCUCAUAUCAAUAUGAUAACAACUAUGACAUCAAUUUUAGUACCCUGUGUAAUUCACAAACACACAAGCAUAAUCCAAACCCUAGAACAAACAACUUCCAAUCCAUAGAAUCUGAUCGAGAUAAUUCCUUCGAUUACAAUUCUUCUCAACUGAACUCACAACCUUGCGAUAAACAGUGAUUGGAAACUUCCAUACAUCAUCAAUCUUUUAUCGUAAUUGAUAAACAGCGAUCCAUAAAUAACUUCGUAAAUUAAACAUUGAUUCAUUAAAUCGAUUCUCUUCACUAUAAACAACAUUAAUACAAAAGAAAAAAGAAAACUAAGAAGAAGGGAUAGCACCAAGUCUAUCCCAGCUCAGUACAAUCGUAGUCUGGCAUUUUCUUCCUCUCUCCCAUCCUCCUUAUAUUACUCCGAGAUACCAACUCCUAUGCUAUGGAUGAUAACUACUUUUCUUGACUAUUCAUCUAUUCUACUUGCUAAACCACCUUUUCAGCAGUUAUCUAUCUCUAUUUAUAUUAUACACUAGAUAUCUAUAUUCUGAAAAUAAUUACUUAUUCUAUAAGAUUUGAUAUAGACUCUUGAUUAAAAUUGGAACUUUAAAAAUUAUUGAAUGUUUGAUUUUGUUAAUUAGAUCGAUUUCCAUUCCAUCCAUACGUAUUUCUCAUUUGAACUUGAUUGACUUCUCAUUGAGUCAAUAGGAUCAUGGUUUGAUUACUGAAUUGUUGUUGCCUUUGUAAAUGCCAACAGUUUUGGGUAGGGUGCUUUCCUCCACAAAAUGUAUAUUGAACAUAUGUUUGUCUAGGUGAUGGACAUUCCAUAUCAAAAUGACCUUAUUCCUUACAAUUAUUACACCAUACAUUAGGUCUUGUAUUAGAAGGCUUAUAUCAUUUCUCUUUGUCUUUAGCCAAAUUCAGGGCCAAUUCUUCCAUUUUCUUUGUUAUAUUUAAUAACAAGGCUUAAUUUGGAUCUUUAAUAGUCGAAUUUGUGAACAACUCCGGUUGUUGAUAGGUUGGCGAUAUAAAAUAAGGUGUCAUCAUUAUUGGCACUAUUGCUUGGAGUGGUGUAGCAUUAAUUGGUUGUUGCAAUAUAACAUUCUUUACAUUAGAGGUAGCCAUUUGUGGAUAAUUAUCCAUCAACACAUUUCUCAGUUGUAUUUGUUGGCUUCCUGAACUUGGAAUCAUUGUAGCCUCCACUGUUAACAAUUGAUCAUAAUGACAUUCUUCCCACACCUUUGUUUGUGCCAACAAUGCCUCUACUAUAGCUGGUCAAGCUUCUUUUAUAAAUAUUUUCAAUUCUAAUGGAUGCAAAUCGUUAAUUAAUAUUGAUAAUAUAAACACAUCUGGCAUUUGAUUAUUUGACCAUUUACAAAGUAUAUCUGUGAUCCGGCCAUAAUAGGACUCUACAGAUUCCCCUACAAACAUCUUGCUAUUCAUAAAACUUUCUUGAAGCCAAUCUUCAAAUCUAAUUGGUCUAAAAUGGGUUAGGAAGGUAUUCCUUAAGACCUUCCAAUUGUAAAAUCUAUCCACUGGUUAUCAAAUAUACCAUUCAAAAGCUGUAUCUUUUAAAGUUGCUGACAACCAUCUCAACCAAAUGUCUUCAGUUCUACCAUUAUUAGCCACGUAGGUUGUCAAGAAUUGAGAUAUAUGGUGAUCGGAAUCAGAGCCCGGCCAACCACUAAAAGUAAGUAAUGGUGCCACACUUGUAGUUCGAUCUCCUACUGCUCCCAUUUAUAUUGCAAUUGGUACUUCUCGCACUUCCGUGGCUAUUGGAGUUAUCACUAGUCUCCUUACUAUUUGAAUUUAAAUUUUUCUUCCUUUGGUUUUUUUUAGACGUACAAUUUCUUUUUGUCGUUCUCGUAAGAUAUUUUUGAUGUGUAAUCAUUCCUGUCUUUCUUUUGUUUGUUGAUUAAUUCUUUGAUAAUCCUCCCUCCCAUGAUUAUCAUUCAUAAUCUUUCAUUCUUUUUGGAAAAAUCAAUACUACCUUGAAUUGUAACUCACAUAUUUGUAACCCUAAAACUGAUUCUUCUCAUGUUUUCAUUCAACAUAUAAUUCCAUCUCCCAUACAAUCAAUUUACCUAUUCUAUAGGCAACAACCUCACUCCACUCCCACAAUCGCCAAAAUUUCAGUUUUGAUUCAAUUGUAGUGAAUUUUAUACCACUACGACUUCAACUUUAAUGUGCUUCUAUACAAAAUUUUCCACUAUAAAAUAAUCAUCAGGCACUAAGAAAUGCCUUUACAAAAAUGAGAUACAUGAAACUGCCAUGGCAGUGAACCUCUUUCUAUUCUAAAACUCACUACAAAUUCAAAUCAACUUCAAUUUGAACAUGUGAUAGCUUUUUGGAAAGCUUACAUCUAGACACACAACCUUAAGAAUUUUUGAUUCAAAAAUUGCAACACAUAAAAAAGAAUUGAUGAAAACCCGAGAGCAAAUCAACAUCCAACUUAACAAUGAAAUUUUUGACUAUCUUAUAAAUUGAGAAUUAGAAAUGCUUUGCUUACACUAAUAAAGAAGAGAUGAAGAACACUUACCACCAAUGAUGAGCUACUUGAAUUCCUCACUCAACGAAAUCAAGCAAGUUCAAUCACAAUAAGCAAACUUCACAUUCACACACACCAUUAGAAGCACCAUCUCCUGGCAAAUGUACCAAAAUGUGAGUAUAAAUUUCACUCCUCAACUCCAAUUACAAGAUGGCCUCAAUUAAGAGUUGCUUGUAAUUGGUAGUAUGAAGGGAAGUAAGCAAAUAAUAAGAACAAAAGAUGAACAACCACAAAACAAUUGAAAUGAAUGACAUGAAGUAAGUACACAAUCAAAAACUAAGUCAUAGUCUUUUCACUGUGUUUUCAUCUAAUAAAAAGUAAAAGUAAAAAGUAAAAAGUAAAUAUUUAGAUAGAUAAUUUUAUUAUCUUUUUAAUUACAUAAGAAACAUAUAAAUCCGAAUCACUAUGAAUAAGUUAUGAAGUGUUAAAAAAUAGGAAGUAAAUAAUUAAAAAGUGAAGUAAAAAUAUUUUACCUCAAGGAUAACUUGCUUCUAGAUCAAGGGUUCGAGCCUCACCAAGGCUCACAUGUAGUGUAUAUCGGUUGCCUAAAGAGGCCUUGAGGCCUUAGUCUUAUCUUCCUACCUACAUCCAAGGUGCUACAACCCAUAUGGGACUUGUGCACCUCCCUUCUUACAAGGACUAUACUAACUGCUGGUCCUCCUAUUUUCUACUAGUAGAAUUAAUAUUUUUACAUUUUUGACUUCACCAUGGUGUUCAAAAACACCCAAUUAGCCUAAUAACAUUGUGUGGCCUUCAAACCUUACUCCAUUUCUUCAUAAUGGCUCCCUAAGUGAUAAAAUUCAAUUUUACCAAUGUCUUAAAAAUUACCCUAAAAAUUCAUAGAAAAUUCUAAAUAAAUUCUAAAUAAAUUCUAAAUAAAUUCUAAAUAAAUUAUUAAAAUUCCUAUAACAUUUCUAUAAUUCUAAUAAAAAUUUAAAAAUAUAAUUCCCUCUAUUGAUGAUUUUUUAGAGUGAUAAAAAACAAUUUGAAUCUACUAAAAAUUCUAAAUAAUUUCUAAAUAAAUUCUAAAAAUUCUUAUACUAUUUUUAUAAUGCUAAUAGCAAUUUAAGGAUAUAAUUUCUUAUAUUAUUGAUUUUUUAUGGUAAUGGAAUCAAUUUAAAUCUACUAUAAAUUCUACUUUCUAUAUAAAUAACUAAAAAGACAUGAGGUUCUUUCUUAUGCUUCUUUUAAGUUCUAACUAACAUUUAUAGUUUUUGUAUAAGUAAUACAUAUAGAUAUAAGAUCAAUAUAAAUGUUGAUUUUAGUAAAUAAUCCUUACUCCUCAAUAAUAAGUAAAAAUACUAAACCAACUAAAAUAAUUGCCUCAAAAACUUACUAAGAUUCCAUUUCUUCUCCAUUAAUACUAUUCUUCUUUCUUUAACAUCUUCUAAACACAUCUUUACCUAAUAAUUAUAAUUUUGGCACUCUACAUGCAUUAUUUUGUCCUAAAAUAACUAGUGUAAGAGCCCAAAAGUUGGUUCACAUUGUUGGUUAAACUAAAAAAAUCUAAAAAAAAAUGAGGAUUUUGAUUAUGUUUUGUAAUAAUAAGUUAGUUAUAGACAUUAAUGUUAGUGGCUUAUUGAUGAUUAGUAGUGGAAAGAAAAAUCAAGGGAGAAGGGAGUGGUGGGAAAGAUAAGAAAAAGAACCAAAAGAAAAAAAAAAAAACAAAACAAAACAAAACAAAAAGGCCAAGAAGAAAGAAGGAAGAAGAUGAAGAGGGACAAGGAGAAGAAGAAAAAAAAGGAGAAGAAAAUAAUUAGAAGUAAAUUUAUUGUGAUGGGUUUGUCAAAUUGUUGGUUCUUAAUGAUCUAGAACUUAGAUUUGGGUGUAUGAAUAGUCAAACUUGAUGUUUAAAUAUGUUUUAAACACAUUGGUGGAGUUAGUUUUGUCAAAAAACGCUUCGAAUUGGAGAUUUUGGGCAUGUCCAGCACUAAAAUCGGGUUUAGGACUUAGGAUUAAUGUGGGCCCUUGAUCUUGAUUAGGGUUGGUGGAUUCGGAUGGUGGAGAUGUGGCCGCCACCCUUUGGUCUCUUCCUACUUGGAUAAGAGGGUGGAGGUGGCCACACUCGCUCUCUCUCUCUCUCUUUUUUUUUUAGGGGGCGAAGCCAUGCCAAAUUGCAUCCCCACGUACCCUUGUUUCUAUAGAGCUGCAAUUGCGCAGCUGUAGUGUAUUAGUUAUCUAGAAAUAGAACGUCAAAUUUUACCAAUAGUUAGAUCUUGUCGUUAGCUUCCUCGGGACAGUAGGCACGCUUUGUUUGGAGAGAAAACAAGAAAGUUGUGGUGGUUUUAGUGACAAGGAGGUCAGCUGCCGGCCAGAUCUGGAGGUCCGACUUUGGAAGGCGAGUGUUGGCGGACAGUAUUGAAUUUGGAGCUGAAACUUUUGUGGAGGAUGGUCCUUGUUGUCAGCUUUUCAAGGACUAUUUGCACGCUUAGAUUGAGUAAAGGCCAAGGAAGUUAUGGUGGUUGGAGUGAAGAGGAGUCGGCCGUGGUGAAGAUGUAGCACUCCGCCAACUCAAGCUACUUUGGAAGGUCAUAUCUUGGAAUUCACUCAAGAUUUUCAAGAAAAAAUUAUUGGAGGUGAUGCGGCUUCAAUUCUAGUUUUUGGAAUGCUAAAGCAUAUGCGUUGCACAACUGGAAUGGAGCAAGGGCAAGGGUUUUUGUGGCUAGGGGUGCUCUGACUAGGCCGAGAAAGUCAGGCAACUUUGAGGCAAGUUUUCUCUUAGCUUAAUUGUUGUUUUGCAUUGAAUUUUGUUCGAGGACAAGCGCUUGUAAGUCUACUUUCUAAAAUAACAAAGCUUGUUAUAAACAAGUUAGUGAUGCAACCAUUGUAGUGGAAUUCGUGCAAGGGGGUCGCUACCAUGACUUGGAAGGUGGCGACUUCCAAUUUUCUUUAAUUUUUAGGAUGAAACUUGGAUGAAUUAGGUCAAUUGCACGAAUUGUCAGUUAGAUGAUAAGUUGACUUAUGGUUGGAUGAAUGAAUCUUUAGAUGAAAAUUGGAUGAACAAACUUUGAAUGAAUGAAUGUUAUAAGAUGAAUGAGAUUUAAGGGAUGGAUGAUUGAUGAAGGGAAAUUUAGGAUGAAUGAACUUAGGGUUUAUGGAUGAACUUAGGGUUUUUGGAUGAACUUAGGGUUUCUAGAUGAACUUAGGGUAUCUGGAUGAACUUAGGGUUUUUGGAAGAACUUAGGAUUUAUGGAUGAACUUAGGAUUUAUGAAUGAACUUAGGGUUUAUAAAAAUUAUGUGUGAUUGAAGUUAAUCCAGUUAACUACUAAACGCAAUUAAGGGUGGAGGAAUUUAGCUCACAUAAAUGGUGCGUUUGCCGGGAGCCGAUCUUAGAGACGUUGUCUAAUAAUUUUUUUUUUUUUUUUUUUUUUUUUUGAGUUGAGAUGAUUGAUUACAUGGAGGAAGGAGAUAAUAGGAGCAAGAUGAUGGGGUUGUGAUUGGAAGGAGCACAGCAGAAAGGUAUGUGGGUCUUGGGAAUAUCUAUGGUAGUUUGUACUAGAAACCUUAGCAUGUGAUCGAGAGGUCGGUGGUAUACUAAUUGUGGAGGAAGCUGGAAUUGCAUGAGGUAAGCCAUGAUACAUUGAAUGAUCUAUGUUAACUUAGGAUUAUAAUUCGUCGUUGUCGUUACCUUGUUAGUAGGUAAUGCCUUGGCAGUGAGUUGAAUUGAGAACGAGGGGGGUUCUGGCCGCGAAGGCAGAAUCACAAUGUCUCGUUUACUGACCGGGUAAGCCCCACAAUAUAGAUUGUACCGUAUGCCAAGAUUGGACUAGCGGGCUGGUUUGCCUUGGUGAAUUCCAUGUCAUCGCUCGUAAAUACUAUCUUGGUGGUUUGCGUUCCCUACCCACCUGAGGAUAGGCUAAAUUAUUAAUUAUCAAUUUCAAAAUUUCAAAAAAAAUAAAAAUAAAAAUAAAAAUAAAAUGGGUUGGUAGGUAAUGAGAGAAGGUCAGUGAAGACGUUUAGAUGUUCCCGAAAACUAGAUCUCAAAAACCUACUUUGAACCAAGGACUUGAACGUAUUAGAAGACGUGGAGGCAAGGUCGUGGAUAACAAGGAAGCAGCCCCUUCUCGGAAUACACUCAUUAAUAGUAGAAGCAAUGAAGAAUUUCUUGGAGGAGACAUUAGAAGGAAUUUAGAAAAGGCUUUAUGAGAUGUCGGGGGCAGUGAGCUAUUGGAGGAGUUGAAAGUGGAGGAGUUAGAGAUAGAACACGUAGUCCCUGAAGACGAAGUAUUUGGAGACGUGAACCUUAGGAAAAUAGGAGAACAUGAUAGGACCUUGGACUUUGUGCCUGCGGUCGAAGGAUUUGUUCACGAGAUGGCGACGGAGCGGCUUCCAGCUUUGGAUCCCUUAGUUAAGCCACGAGGUUUGCCCGUGGCUAUGCUAAUAGGGCUAUUAGCGGCCACAGUUCCAGGGAAUCUCUCCAAGUUCUAUGGCACCAAGGACGAGGAUCCAACCCUACACAUGGAGAGGUACAUAGAGAUUUUGACAACAUCCCUCAUUAGGAACGAGGGAUAUUACCUGGUUUGGUUCCCCGGAACCUUACACGGUGAGGCUUACAUUUGGUACCGGGAUCAUGAUGAGGGACAUUUUAACACGUGGUCCUAGUUGCAAGUAGCCUUCUUAAACCACUUUAGGCUGGAGGUUGGACAAAGUACAGCCUUGAGAGCACUGGGAGCGGUACGACAGCAAAGAGACGAGGAAAUGGCUAACUACAUCAGGAGGUUUGACUUGGUCUGCAUGCGUUAUGUAGGAGGAUUGUUGAAUGGCGAUACGUUUAAGCAAUUCUUCAUUGAAGGAUUUGUUAAUCAAUCUACAAUCAAGGGAGUAUUAGAGAGAAACCCAACCACUUUGGAGGAAGCCAAAACAGCGGUGCGCGUUGUAGAUUUAAUCGAGAGAAGUUAUGAAAGGCAUUGGAGGAAGGAAGAUGAGUCUAUCUCGGGGUUUAUUCCAAUUAAUCCCGUAAGCCAAGCGAUAGGACCAAGCACGUCAAAUACACCUUCGAUAGUCGACAAUGGUGCCCAAUAUUACAAUGUUAUGCCCACGGCCACCAGAGCUCCAGUACCCUUAUUGGCGUUACCAGAGCCACAAUUGGAGAGGAGAGUGGAGGACUUGGAGAAGAAAAUACAGGCCGGACAAGAAGAUUUUCAAGACUCCAUGAUGAAGCAGAUCCAAGCCUUGACUGAGCAGAUGGCAUUCAUGGUAAAGAAUCAAAAUUCAAACACCCCACCUCCUCGGAUAGAGUCUGGUAACCAUAACUCGGGGGUUUGGUGCACUAUUUGUGGCCAAAAUGGGCAUUCAUCUCUUCAGUGCCGAGUAAGGCCUCAAAGUAAUCCAAAUCUUCAACCAUACCAGCCAACACAGAGCUAUGGAAGAGAUAGAGGACCUCAACAGUGGCAAGGAGGUUAUCAAGGUGGUCCUCAAGGAUAUGGUAGAAGUGGCAAGCCUCGGAAGGAGUACCAUGAGCUUUGCAGGAGAUGGCAUGAGCCGGGUCAGUGCUGGGAUGAUGGCCAACCAUGGCCGUGUGGCAAUUGUGGUGGCAAUCACCCUACCCAUGAAUGUAGACAACUUGAUAAGGUAAUUCAACUACCACUACGAAUAACAAAUCCUUAUGAGAACGCGCGGAAUAACAUGAGAGAUCAGAGACGACCUCAUGGUGAUGAUUAGAGGGGCCUAAAACCUCCUAAUCUCUACUACAACUAUGAGGAUUUCUAACAAAACCAUCAACCUCCAGAAGGGUUACAAAUCCGCCAAGGUUAUAUCCCAGUUGCCCAAAAUCAACAAGGCAGCUAUCGAAACUAUGCAAACGAGAAACAAGGUCCAUCUUCUAACCAAGAUGUUAGAGUAGCAGAAGAGGUCUUAUUGAAGGGUCCUGCACCAUCUCUAGCAAAGACCACAGUGGUGAUUGAAGAACAUGAAGCACCUUCUAAUUUAGUGACCCACGAAUUGAAGGAAGACGGAGGCGGUGGCCAUGAGAAUGCUACUUUGGCUGUGAUUAUCCGAGGGCAAGCUCAUAGGCAAUCACCAAUCGAUGAAGAAGACUCAGAUGGUAGUGAGUCUGAAAAGUUGUUGGAUUUAGUAGCUCUUGAGGCGGCUGCAAAGGAGGCGGCAAGAAUUACAAGGGAGGUAGGUGCUGCGCUAGGUGAUGAAAGGUCAUCUGAAGGCUUUGAUCCAGGUAAAGGGUUAGAACCGGGUGAAUGGGAGGAUCCAGAUAUUCCAGAGGAGGACUUUGGAGGGUUGGGUCGUACGACGCCAACCUCUUAUCAGAAGUAUGAUCUCUGGAGGGACUUGCGGAGGAUAAAGGCUAACAUCUCAAUUGCUCAACUAUUGGAGAUAUCUCCUUUGAUGAGGAAGAGUUUCAAAGAAGGCUUGCCUAGGGCGAAGAAGAAGAAGAAGACUCAGAAGAGGACAGUGGCUAGGGUACAAGCAUCUAUUAGGCCAGUGGAUGUGAAGGCAGUGGAGAUCGAGGUCACUAUCGUAGACAAGGUGGUUUCAAAUGUGCUCAUUGAUGGAGGUAGUGGGCUUAACAUCAUGCCACUUCAUACCAUGAAGAAGUUGGGGUUGAAUUUAACCGGACCUUCACCAUUUGUAUUAAACAUGACAGAUCAGAGUCCUGCUAGGUCUUUAGGCCAGAUCACGAACUGUAAAAUCUCUACAGGAGGGGAGAAUUACUUAGUGACCUCCCAUGUUAUCAGAAUGCACACUUCCAAAGAAUCUUUUCCACUUCUCUUAGGUCGUCCGUGGUUGAGGAUGGCCAAUGCCACCAUCAUAUGGGGUGGUAAUAAGCUCUCCAUAGUUUACUGUCCAUAUGAAAACCCCACUAAAGUUAGAAUCAAGCCUUUGAUAGGACUCGAGGUGGUUGACACCAUAUCUAUUGGAGAAGGCACACCAUUAAAAUCCGUGGAUGGGAUGACGUUUGAAGCUGAGGUUCAAACCUUGAAGUGUCUUGGUCCAAAUCUCUACCAUUGGUCAGACAAUGGAGAGUAUGCCAAGUGGCUCCAAGACAACCCUGAUUCUUCAUCAGAAUUGAUGGCAGGAUUGAAUCUCAUUGGAAUAGAGUUAGACGAUGGUUUGACACCUUUAAUUGAGGUAGAUGUCCAUUUGAUUGGAAUAGAGGAUGUUGAAGGAGUAGAGGUUUUAGAAGAAAGUGAGCAUUUGGGAGGAUCAUUGAAAUUUAAGACUGGUUCUUCAGGAAUUACGGUUGGAGAAGACGUUUUCAAUUAUUCCAAUGUGCCUUCGGAUUGGUAUCGAGAUAACAAUGAGCAAUCUCACGUUGCUAAGGUAGACUGAAAGUUUGUGACAGUGGAGUUUGAAGGAGAAGAACCAAGACAAAUGAAGAUGGGAAGCCAACUAGAGGAUGAAGAGAUCUAAGCCUACUGUGAGUUGGUAAGAGAGUAUCAGAAGGUCUUUGCAUGGUCUUACAAGGAGUUAAAGGGGAUUCCUCUUGAGAUUGUAGAACAUCAAAUUUCCUUGAUGAUCGGUACAGUGCCGAUCAGGCAAAAAGAGAAGAGAAUGAAUCCUCAGCUUCAAUUGAUUGUGAAAGAGGAACUGGAGAAAUUACUCCAAGCAGGUUUUAUUAAACCUGUUGAGAUCACAGAUUGGGUCUCUCCCAUGGUGCUUGUAAAGAAGAAGAAUGGUAAACUUAGGGUGUGUGUGGAUUAUAGGAAGUUGAAUUUUUGCACCCAAAAAGACCACUUUCUCUUGCCAUUUAUCACUAGCAUCUUGGAAGAAGUGGCAGGUCACGAUUUAUACACAUUUAUGGAUGGAUAUUCUGGAUACAACCAAGUAUCUAUUGCACCUGAAGAUCGAUACAAGACUGCAUUUACAAUACCUUGGGGGACGUUUGUGUGGCAUGUGAUGCCAUUUGGAUUAUGUAACGCCCCUUCUACUUUCCAACGUCUGGUGAUGUCUAUCUUCUCAGACUUGUUAUACAAAUCAAUGACCGUGUUCAUUGAUGAUUUCAGCACCCAAUCUGAUGCAGAUUCUCACAUUCAUUUGGUGAAAGAAAGCUUAGAGAGGUGCAAGAAAGCUCGAAUGGCCCUGAAUCCAGAAAAAACCUAUCUUGCCUUGAUUAGAGGCAUUUUGUUGGGAUAUAUGGUUAGUAAGAGGGGUCGUGAGCCCGAGCCAGAAAAGGUGAAGGUAAUUCAGAAUUUAUCACCUCCUACCAGUGUGAAGGAAGUGCAACGUGUAUUGGGACACACUGGUUGGUAUAGGGAGUUGAUUGAAGAUUACGCCACUAUUACCCUUCCCAUCACUAGCCUUCAGAAGAAAGGCACCAAAUUUAUAUGGACUCAGGCUUGUAAUGAUGCUUUCGAGGUUCUAAAGAAGGAAUUGUCUUCUUAUCCAAUAUUGAGGCCCCCGAGGUGGGACUUGCCUUUCCACAUCUAUUGUGAUGCAAGUGCGGUGGCGGUUGGCAGCAUUCUGUGCCAACUUGUAGAAGGCCCAAGCAAGGGCAAGGAUCAUCCAAUUGCCUACGUUAGUAGGCAAUUAAAUCUUGCAGAGAAAAAUUAUUCCACCACUGAGAGGGAAUGUCUAGCCAUGGUGUUCUCAGCUAAGAAGUUUAGACAUUAUAUGUUGAGCAACAAAGUGGUUUUUUAUGUGGAUUACAUGGCCAUCAAGUAUUUGGUUAACAAACCUGAGUUGAGCGGUCGGCUAGCUAGGUGGGUCUUGUUGCUACAAGAGUUUGAUUACACUGUGGAGUACAAACCUGGAUCCGUACACAAACAAGCAGAUCACAUGUCGAGAUUGCCUGGAGGAAUGGAGACCCACCCGAUUGAUGAUAGAUUGAUAGACGAGAGUCUUUUCUUGGUGACAGCUAGACCGGCAUGGUAUUCUAGGAUUAUUGAGUUCUUGACUACUCAACAAUUGCCAGUGGAUUUAUCUAAGGACGAGAGGCGGAAGAUUCGGGUCAAUAGUCGUCAUUAUGUGGUGUUAGGGAACCGGUUGUAUUGACGUGGAUUGGAUGGAGUGUUAAGACGUUGUGUGAUGGAAGAUGAGGUUCCUUCCAUUUUGUCGGCUUGUCAUGACAGUGCAUGUGGCGGACAUUUUUCUGGCCAAUUGACUGGUCAGAAAAUUCUUAGGGCUGGUUAAUACUGGUCAAUACUCUUCAAAGACGCUCAUACCUAUGUGAGGCGUUGUGAUGCAUGUCAGAGAUUUGUUAGGAAUGACAUUCACAUGUAGUUGCCGCUUCACAUUUUCCUACUAUUGGUGUCAUUCGAGAAGUGGGGCAUCGAUUACGUGGGAGAGAUUCAUCUUCAUUCAUCUCGAGGAAUGACAUAUAUUGUAGUGGCCACUGAAUAUCUCACUAAGUGGGCUGAAGCCAAGGCUGUGAGGACAAAUGAUGCCAAGAAUGCUGCAAUCUUUCUCUUUGAGAAUGUGAUUACUAGAUUUGGAGUCCCAAAGAUCCUUGUGAGUGAUCAAGGUACUCAUUUCCUCAACGAGGUGAUUGAAUCCAUGAUUGAACGAUUCCAGAUUGAUCAUCGGAAGACUACAUCCUAUCACCCUCAAACCAAUGGUCAGACAGAGCGAGUCAACCAAACACUUGGUACUAUAUUGAGGAAAACUGUUAGAGACUCCAAGCGUGAUUGGGAUGUGAAACUGCCAGCCGCCUUAUGGGCAUAUAGAACAACAUUCAAGGUCACCACGCAGGCUACGCCAUUCUCUCUAGUCUAUGGACUGGAAGCAGUUUUACUAAUUGAAUUUGAGGUUCCAUCCCUUCGGAUUGCAGUAGAUUCCAGAUUGACUGACAGACAAUCUUUAAAGACAAGGUUGUACGAGCUCGAGGCGUUGGAUGAGAGCAGAAGACGAAGGGCUCAACACAUUGAGGCCAUCCAGAGGCGGCGCAAGGUCGUAUUUGAUAAACGAAACAAGACUCGGGUCUUGCAACCUGGUAUGCUUGUAUUGUUACAAGAUGCUCGGAAGAUCGACUUUCCAAGCAAGUUUGAUGCCGUAUGGUUGGGUCCUUAUCUUGUCAAGGAGGUGUUUUUAAACAACUCCGUACAAUUGGAGACCUUGAAUGGUCAAUUGUUUCCUACACGAACAUCAGGUAGCAGGUGUAAAGAAUAUAAGACAUGAGGGAGCGCAAUUUUGGGCAAGAGCUCCACCUUUCUAUUAUAUGACAAGGCAAUAGUAUGAACUGGCAUGGUGAAAAUACUUUAAAGGACAAAAAUUGGCAAGUACAAGCUGGAUUCGUCCCCUGAUGGUCGCCAAUUAUGUGAGCCCAAAAGUUGGUUCACUUUGUUGGUUAAACUAAAAAAAUCUAAAAAAAAUGAGGAUUUUGAUUAUGUUUUGUUAUAAUAAGUUAGUUAUAGACAUUAAUGUUAGUGGCUUAUUGAUGAUUAGUAGUGGAAAGAAAAAUCAAGGGAGAAGGGAGUGGUGGGAAAGAUAAGAAAAAGAACCAAAAGAAAAAAAAUAAAAAACAAAACAAAACAAAACAAAAAGGCCAAGAAGAAAGAAGGAAGAAGAUGAAGAGGGACAAGGAGAAGAAGAAAAAAAAGGAGAAGAAAAUAAUUAGAAGUAAAUUUAUUGUGAUGGGUUUGUCAAAUUGUUGGUUCUUAAUGAUCUAGAACUUAGAUUUGGGUGUAUGAAUAGUCAAACUUGAUGUUUAAAUAUGUUUUAAACACAUUGGUGGAGUUAGUUUUGUCAAAAAACGCUUCGAAUUGGAGAUUUUGGGCAUGUCCAGCACUAAAAUCGGGUUUAGGACUUAGGGUUAAUGUGGGCCCUUGAUCUUGAUUAGGGUUGGUGGAUUCGGAUGGUGGAGAUGUGGCCGCCACCCUUUGGUCUCUUCCUACUUGGAUAAGAGGGUGGAGGUGGCCACACUCGCUCUCUCUCUCUCUCUUUUUUUUUUAGGGGGCGAAGCCAUGCCAAAUUGCAUCCCCACGUACCCUUGUUUCUAUAGAGCUGCAAUUGCGCAGCUGUAGUGUAUUAGUUAUCUAGAAAUAGAACGUCAAAUUUUACCAAUAGUUAGAUCUUGUCGUUAGCUUCCUCGGGACAGUAGGCACGCUUUGUUUGGAGAGAAAACAAGAAAGUUGUGGUGGUUUUAGUGACAAGGAGGUCAGCUGCCGGCCAGAUCUGGAGGUCCGACUUUGGAAGGCGAGUGUUGGCGGACAGUAUUGAAUUUGGAGCUGAAACUUUUGUGGGGGAUGGUCCUUGUUGUCAGCUUUUCAAGGACUAUUUGCACGCUUAGAUUGAGUAAAGGCCAAGGAAGUUAUGGUGGUUGGAGUGAAGAGGAGUCGGCCGUGGUGAAGAUGUAGCACUCCGCCAACUCAAGCUACUUUGGAAGGUCAUAUCUUGGAAUUCACUCAAGAUUUUCAAGAAAAAAUUGUUGGAGGUGAUGCGGCUUCAAUUCUAGUUUUUGGAAUGCUAAAGCAUAUGCGUUGCACAACUGGAAUGGAGCAAGGGCAAGGGUUUUUGUGGCUAGGGGUGCUCUGACUAGGCCGAGAAAGUCAGGCAACUUUGAGGCAAGAUUUCUCUUAGCUUAAUUGUUGUUUUGCAUUGAAUUUUGUUCGAGGACAAGCGCUUGUAAGUCUACUUUUUAAAAUAGCAAAGCUUGUUAUAAACAAGUUAGUGAUGCAACCAUUGUAGUGGAAUUCGUGCAAGGGGGUCGCUACCAUGACUUGGAAGGUGGCGACUUCCAAUUUUCUUUAAUUUUUAGGAUGAAUCUUGGAUGAAUUAGGUCAAUUGCACGAAUUGUCAGUUGGAUGAUAAGUUGACUUAUGGUUGGAUGAAUGAAUCUUUAGAUGAAAAUUGGAUGAACAAACUUUGAAUGAAUGAAUGUUAUAAGAUGAAUGAAAUUUAAGGGAUGGAUGAUUGAUGAAGGGAAAUUUAGGAUGAAUGAACUUAGGGUUUAUGGAUGAACUUAGGGUUUCUAGAUGAACUUAGGGUUUCUAGAUGAACUUAGGGUUUCUGGAUGAAUUUAGGGUUUCUAGAUGAACUUAGGGUUUCUAGAUGAAUUUAGGGUUUAUGGAUGAACUUAGGAUUUAUGGAUGAACUUAGGGUUUAUGAAUGAACUUAGGGUUUAUAAAAAUUACGUGUGACUGAAGUUAAUCCACUUGACUACUAAACGCAAUUAAGGGUGGAGGAUUUUAGCUCACAUAGUGAGUCAAUCUGAUGACUGACAAUAGUGACUAGACUUAAGGUACCUUUUGGAUAAUGACAUUGUUAAAAGGUGAAUCUCUUCAAAAGAAUAUAAGGUCCUUGAUUGCAAGUAGAUUACAAGAAGUACAAUAUUAUUCAAAUGAAGUCAAAUAUAAAAAAUAGUCAAAUAUUAAGUACAAAUUUUGGACUAAUUUCUUUCUUGUACCAAGAUAUAAUAAACUCCUAACUCAAAUCUUAAACCUAUACUUUAUCCUAUUAAAAUACUUAUAAUUUAUUCAUUAUUAAUUUAAUUUAGGUAAAUUUUAGCUUAUUGAGCUAAAUUUAAGCUAUAAAUUUCAAAUUAUUUAAGUAUAUAAAUAAAAUCUUGUAGAAAUGAGAGCCAAAUCAAGGAGAAAAAAAAUUGAUUGCUUACUGCAAUCACUGCCUUAAAACCCUCCAUCUACAAAUCACCUUAGAUCUUUCUUGUUACACUUCUUUUUUCUAUAUGCUAAGUCUUCAUAGAAAGCAAAAAAUGAGCUCUAGUUUCUUCUAAAUUUUUUUUUUAAAAAAAAAAAAAAAAAAAAAAAAAAAAUCCAAUAAAUGGCAUAGAAAGUUCUAAACCAAUCUUGAAUUUUUUUGUCGAAAAACUCCAGUAAAAUCCCUUUAAUAAAUUUAUGUGAAUCUCCCUCAUCAUAGCUUUAUAUUUUUUGUGCUAUAGCUUGUUGAAAAGCUAACAACAUAAUCUAACUUCUUUAAAAAUUUCAAAAUAUAAAAAAGAAAUAAAAGAAAUGACAUAGAAAUCUCUAAUUAGUCUUGAAUCUCACCGCAAAAAAACUCCAGCAACUCUUCUUUUAUGAAUUUUCUUUGUUUUCCCCUCAUAGCUCCAUUUCUUGCAUAUUAUAUUUUAUUAAAAAGCUGAAAAUACAACCAAAUUUCUUUCAAAAAAAAAAAAAAAAAAAAAAAAAAAAACUUAAGUGGCCUUUAAAAAUCCAAACUUCACUUGAAUCUUGCCUCCUCCCAAAAAAACUCUAGCCACCUCUUUUUUUCCUCUUUUUGAUCGUAGCUCUUUUUUUUUAAAUUAAAAAAACCUUGAUGCCAAAAAUUUCUAUUUCUAACCUUCUUUCAAUAUCCUUCUAAAACUAUUACAGAGUUGGAUAUUUUUCCUAAAAGACAAUACCUUCAAGCUUGAAGAAUCCAUUCAAGACAUCAAUUUCACAUUCUAAAUUCUAUUCAAAAUAUAAAUAUAUUAAUAUUAUAAUUCUCAUCUCUUCUCUUUUAAAAAUAAAAUUAAUUAUCUUCUAAAUAAUUUUGAUGUAUUUAAAUUAAAUACAUCAGAUUAAUGCCAUUUUUGAAAUAAAUCCACAAUUACAAGUAAUUCUUUGUUGUGGAUCUCAUGAUUAAUCUUGGCUACUGAAAUUUUUUUGGAAUAGAAAGCUACUAAAUGGACUUUCUUAUCUACUCCUAUUUGUGAUGAUACUACUCUUAAGACAAAGUCUAAUAUAUUUGUUUCCAUGAAAAAUGCCUUGAAAAAGUCAAUAUAAUAUAAGAUUGGUGCAGAAGGAAACUUCUUUUUUUAAAGCAUCAAAUGAUGCUUUGGCUUCUUUAUUCCACUUAAUUUUGUCUUUAUAAGUCAAACAUGUAAGUAGAGCUGUAAUUUGAAAAAUAUUCUUGAUGAAGAUCUAUUAAUAAUUGACAAAGUCUAAAAAACACUACACAUCUCUUAUUAUUCUUGAAAUCUUCUAAUCCAUGAUAGUCUGAAUCUUCUUUGAAUCCAUCAUUAGUAUUUUAUUAGAAAUGAUGUAUCCUAAGAAAUCAACUUAAAUAGUAUGGAAUAUACACUUUUUUAACUUGGCAUAUAAUCCUGCAUCUAUAAAUUUUUGUAAUACACAACAAAUAUAAACUUUAUGCUCUUUUAUAUUCUUAGAAUAAACUAAGAUGUCAUCCAUAUUACAAAAAAUAAAAUCAUCAAGAAACUUACAAAAGACAUCAUUCAUUAGAUGUUAAAAAACAACUAAUAUAUUUGUGAGUCCAAAAGACAUGACAUUAUAUUCAAAAUGUCCAUAUUUGAUUUAAAAUGUAAUUUUUUAUUUAUUUCUUUCUUCAAUGCAUACCAAAUUAUAUGCUCCUUUUAGAUUUAUUUUUUUGUAGAUCUUUACUUAAUUUAAUUAAUCAAAAAAUCUUAAAAUCAAAAAUAAGAGAUAUUUAUUCUUAAUGGUGAUUUUAUUGACUCUUCAAUAGUUCAUAUAUAUUUGUAGAGAUUUAUCUUUUUUCUUUAUAAAUAAGAUAGGAACUUAAAUUAGAGAUUUAAAAUGGUAUAUGAAAUUUUUAGCCAAAUUCUCAUCAAUGUCUUCUUUGAAUGCAACCAAUUUGUUUUGUGAUAGGCUAUAGAUUGGUCCAAAUAGUAGUUAAGUUCUUUCUUGAAGAUCGAUAAAAUAAUUAUAAAGAUAAUACUCUGGAAGAAUAUCUACAUUCUUCUUUUCAAAAAUAUUAUAGAAAUCUAGAUAUUGGCUAAGAAUAUUACUUGAUAUCUUUCCAUCAUCAGAAAUAAGCAUGGCAUAUAUAGCAAAAGAGGAUCCUUCUUUUGCAGCAUGCAUGAAAUCUCUUUUAUCUACCACUAAAGAUUUGGAUGUAUUAGACUUAUGUUUUUUUACUUGAUAAAUAAAAAUUUGGAUUAAACUAUCAUAAAAAUUAAGGUUACAAGAAAUCAAAUUUAUCUGAAGAUUAUAUUUUUUUAACCAAGAUAAUCCAAAAAUAAUUGAAUUGAAUAAACAUCUUUUUAUAUUAAAUAUUAUUAUGCUAAUAUAAUCUUUAAUUGCUACAUCUAAAGAACUAAUCUCAUGUGUAAUAUCUUUAGAAGAUAGCAAAUGACCAUCUUUAAAAUUUAUAUAUACGGAUUUAGUUCUCUUAUUUUUUGAUAAAAUCUUUAUUUAUAAAAGAGGUUGAGGCUCCUGAAUCUAAUAAAACUAAGACUUUGUGAUUUUUUGAUCUUAAAUAAACUUCUAUUAUUAAACAAAGUGAGAAAUCUAAAGAAAGAAUAAAAUCUUUAUUAAGAAUUAUGUAAGAUUUUAGUUGCAUAGUCUUUAUUGUAUCUAAAAAAACUUAUUUUUCAACACAUCAUCUUCUUUAGCAACCAUGAUUUUUAUUUUGUUGUUGCAUUUUUUUCUUGUAUAAUAUUAAAUUAUUUAUUUAGCUUCUUUAUAAUAUAAAAUUUAAACUAAAGGAAGAUAAUCCGUAACCUCUAUUAUCAAAUAAAAUUUUUUACAAAGAAGAAUAAUCUACUUUCUUUAAGAAAAAGAUUAGUGUUAGAAAACAAGAUUUUUUAUUUAAGAGUGGAUAGAUUGCAUCCUUCAAAAUACAACAAUAGAAGUGGAGUAAUCCAUUUAAUUCUAAAAUAAAAUAGAAAUAGUAAUUUAUUACUUUUAUUUAAUUAUUAAAGACAUAAUUUUUUUUUUAAAAAUACCUUCAAUAUACUCUUGUCUCAUUCAAAAGUACUAAAAAGUCAUUCAAAGAUAAUAUGGUAUUAAACUAGAAUGACUAUUGCCAAAGACAAGAAGACUAGAAAAUCUUGAAAUAAGACUAAAGAUUAAAAAAGCAUUGAUAAGAAUGAAGAAGGCUUCACUCUUGCUUCUAUAUAUAUUCUUAACUAGGAGCUACAUGGUAAUAUCCUAUAAGACCUCUAAAACAUGUUGACUUUAUAAGACAUGUAUCUUAACUUACAAGGCAAGUUUUUUUAUAUAUAUGCCACAUAGUUAACUUAUUUGGCAAGCUACUAAUACAUGAUUAAUUUGUUGACCAAAUUUCUAACCUAUCAAUCAAUUAUAAAUACAUAUAAAAUCAAAAUAAUAUCUAUAAAGCUUUUAAGAAGCUUUUUUAGAAAAUAUUAUUAAAUAAAUCUAUUUUUAUCUAUUUCUAUUUAAUCAUAUAAGUAAAUAUUAGAAUAAAUAUGUAUGUCUGUGAUAUUGAGUCAAAGGUGGAUAUUGACCAAGCUUUUUAGCCUAUUUUAGCAUUGGAUAUCACUUUGAGGCCUCUGGAUCCCAUAUUCGGAUACAUUUUAUGAGAUAAAAGACAAUCCUUGUAACAUGGUAAGACAUAGAUUUGUAGAAAGAAUUGCUGACAUUUCUUUGUCAAAUUAAAAAUUUAGAUUUCAAAUAUAGAUGAAAAAGAAGCAUCAAAGGUCUCUUAUUUUCAAUGAAUUGUAUACCUUUGAGUUCUUAUUACAACACUUGGAGCACAAGGCACUCCAAACCUAUAGAAAAUAGAGUGAAGAAUACUCACUUGAGUUGUAUGAAAUAAAGCAUUAUUAGAAGGCACACAUAGAACAUAUUUCAGUUUUUAAAGAAGGUACUAUUUCAAGCUUCGAGCUUACAAUGAGGGAAGAAAAUUCAACCUAAGAAGAAGUUGAUAUAUCUUUAGAAGAUAUUAGAGGAAAAGAAGUAGCUACUUCUUUAACUAGCACUUCAACUACUUUGUUUGACAUGGCUCAAGCAAAAAAGACAACUUUAACUGCAAUAGAAGAGCCACCAUUAUUUCAAUCUCUCUAAAUAUUUAUUAAGUACUUAGAACAAAAAUACAGAGGUUUUAGGUAUGAUUAAAUGUAAUGCAAUCAAGACUUCUUUUAUUAAAAAAAAGAUUCUCCAUAUACCAUGUAUUUUUUAGCUGUCAAAAAAAUUGAAGAAAUCUUAAUAUUCAUGUGCAAUUGCCUUUAUCUUUUGGUCUGAGGAUAUUAAUUCUCUAACAAAGCCUUCUAAUUCAACUUCAAUACAAGAUGAAGAUAUUAGUAUUACAAACAUAAUAUAUAUUUUAACUUACAAAGUAGUAAAUAUGCCUAUAUUUUCUAAUUUUGACUUGUUGAUUUUAUAAUUUAAAUUAAUAAGUUUCUUUCAUUUAGCUAGUAAAAUAUUAAAAGGCAAAGUACCUAUACUAUUAUUAGAAGUGGCUCAAGCAAUAACAAAGCCUUCAACAUAGGAAGAUUUAGCUAAAUUAUAAGAAAAACUUGCAAUUGAAGCUAUUGCUAUAUUUAAUGAAGGUCACUUGAAGGCUACAAAUAUAAAUCAUUUAAGUGAGAUACCAUUGGCUACAGAGAUAGCAUUCUUAUUUGAUAUUGUAACUAGACCUACUUAAGAAUAUAAAAAUUUGUACAUAAAAGUUAUCCAAUUAAAUAAUAAUAAUAUACUAAUUAUUAGCCAUACAAGUGGCAAUACCACUUAUGCUAGACCUUUACACACUACGUUAGAUUUUAGAGCUCAACCAAUUAUGAUUGAUAUGCGUCUUUUUCAAGAAUUAGAUCUCACUUUUAUAGACUUAUAAUCUUAUUUUUUUCUAUUAUUACUUUAGUAAGGAGUAUGGAGCAAGCUACUAGCUACACUAAGUAAUCUUUGUAAUUGAUAUUUUAUAUUAGAUCAGAUCCACUUUAUUAGUACUUAUUUCUAAAGUUUGCAAUAGUUAGUGCCACCAACUAUAAUAUUUUGGUAGAUCAAUAAGCCUCUUAUCCAUUUGAUUUUAGCAUAGAUAAUUGAAUUAAAGAAAAAUGGAUUUGACCAAAAUAGUCUACUAGUGAUUAAAGAAAAGAAUUCAUUCUAGUCACAUUUACAAUCAUUACUAUAUUUAUAUUAGUAGUAAUCUUAUUUUAUUGUAAUGCAUAAGCAUCUGAUUUGCCUUGUGGAGGAAUUCUAUUAGAAGAAAUAUUAGCAUUUAUGUCCCAUUUUAUAAGACUAGCUAAUCUACUAUCUUUAGAAAUUUAUGCAAAAUAUAAUAAGGAUCCAUCUAUUACCUAAAAAACAUGUGUAAUUUUUUUUACCAAUGUAAAGAUAUUAUAUCUUCAUUGAAUAUAUUAAAGAUAUCAAAAUCUAUUUUUAUCUAUUUUUAUCUAAUCUAUUCAUUAGCAUUUAUUAAAUGAGGGUAUUAUGCUUGUAGAACUCUUUGUAGGCAUUGAUAUAAGUUUAGUAGCACUAUUGAAGGCUAAGCUUAUUGUUUGACAAUACAUUCAUAAGGAUAUUAGAAUUACACUUAAUUGAGCAGUCCAACAUCAUCUUCAAAGAUUAUUGAUUAUGUAUCUCAAAUAAUUACAACCUCCUACUAUUCUUGGUUGUUUUAUUUAACUUUCUUAAGAUAUUAUCCUCAUUGAUGAUGAAGAUUAGAAGAAAUUAGGUCAUAGAAACUUAUUGAUUGUUGAAUGGUCUUAUCAAGGUCAUUUAUGGACUAGAGUAAAUCAAGGAUUAAAUGAUCUUUGAUCCAAUUUAUUUACAAAUUUGAUGUAGUUUAUAUAGUAGUGGUUUACAUAUCAAAUUACAUCACUUGGAUAUAUUUUUGAAAAUAUACUACUAUUGAAUGACAUUCAAAUAUAAAUAUUAGAGAAUUAUCAAAAUAUUAACUAAUUCUUUAGUCUUUCAAUCUUUAUGGAUGUUGUGGCUUUGGGCUCCUAUAUCCACUGAUCUUGUUUAAUUUAGACCAACUUGGUAUUAUUUUAUAUGCUUAAAAAAAUAAUUUUUAGAAUUCAAUGACCUCUUAGAUGCUAUAUUGAUGAUAUAUUAGAUGAUAACCAAAUUUCUUUAGUUGUUUCUAAAGUUGAUGAAUCUCUUCUUAUCUUUGUUAAUAAGAUGGAAGCACCUUAUGGCACAUUUCUUACAUUAGUGAUAUUUCCAAUACCAUUUGUAUUUUGAGCACAUAGACUUAGUAUGAUUUGAGAUGUUAAUUCACAAACCUAUAAAAAAACCUAAUACCAAUGAAAGUGAGUGUAAUAUAGGCUUUUUAAUUAGUACCAUAAUUACUUAUGAUCUUACUAAAGGGCAAUGUCAUUUUUUCUUAGACCAAGCUAAAGACCUCAAUACUUUAAUAUGGACUUUUGGCAUAUGUUUUAUUUUUUAAAAUCAUUUUUAUUAUUAUAUUAAUAGUAUAAGGUCAAAAAAUAAUGUUUAAGAUAUAAUGGAUCUUGAACUUACUAAGGUUGAAGAAUUCAAGUCAUUUCUUUGCUUACAAAGGCAUGCAAAAAAUGAGCUAUAAGUUCAAGGUAUCUUUGUAGUUUUAAUUAAAGAUUUAGAAAAAAUAAAUGCAUAGAAUUUUUUUGUAGAAGAUACUCCAUGUUCUAUCAAUAUUUCUAAUUAUCACAAAUAUUAUGAUAAUGAAGCCCUUCAUUUGAUUAGAAGUGAAGAUAUUAGAGGCAUAAGAAUUAUUUUUUCAAUAAAUUAGUAGUUAAAGGCCGUGUCGACAUGUAAUAGUACUCUAUUGGUAAAGAAAGAGACCAUAGAGUUUGAUGAUUGGCCAUUAGAAUUAAGGUCACAUCUUAUGGAUGUCAAAGCAUGAAAGGUAUGAUCUUUUAUCUGCUUGUAUUACAAUUGUUUUACAUUUAGUCUUGAGGAUUUUGAAGGUUAUAAAAGCAAACCUAUUCACAUCUAAUAGGAAGAAGUUCAUUCAAUAUUUUAAUAACCUUAUAGAUUUAGGACCUCAAAAAAAGCUGAUAUCCAAGUUCAUUGGCAAGAAUUAUUAACUUCAUGCUUGAUUAAGCUUUCUAAUUGUAAGUACUCUUAUUCUAUAGUCAUAUCUAUAAAAAAAGAUAUUUUUGGUAAUUAGAAAAAAAAACAAAUGUAUAAAGACUAUUGUCCAAUUAAUUAUAAGACUAAAUCUAAUGCCAAUGCUAAUGCUAAAAGAAUUAUUUGAUGCAGUAAGAUUCUUUCAAUUAUUCAAUACUUUAGAUUUAAGAUUUAGUUAUCACCAAUUACUAUUACUUAUUAAAGAUCAAGUAAAGACAAUAUUUUGGAGUAUUGAUCAAUAUGACAAAGAUCUUUCAUUAGAAGUUCCUUCUAUUCAGUCUUAAGAAUGCACCAAGUAAGUUUCAAUGGAUAAUGGACCAAGUUUUAUCUGACUUAUUAUUUAGUAAAUGCUAUGUUAGUGAUAUUAUCAUUUUUAGUAGUAUCCUAGAAGAUCAUAUGAAGCAUUUAUAAGCAGUAUUUAAAUAAUUAUGACAAUGGAGAUUAUGCUUACAUUAUAAAAUAUAUAAAUUCUUCUAUAAAUGAUUAUCAUAUUUAGAUCAUAUAAUUAUUUUAAGAGGUCUUAGUAUAUAAUAAGCAAAAGUAGAUACUUUGUAAAAAAUCUUGACAUCAAAUAAUGCUUCACAACUUCAAAUUUUUUUAGGAUUGACAAACUACUAUCAAAAAUUUGUUAAAAACUUUAGCAUCAUUACUGAGCUUUGAACUAUUCUCAUGGGUAAAGAUAAACCAUGGACUUGGAUUUGUGAGUAAAAAUAUGCAUUCAACAUAUUAAAGUAAAAGUUGGAUUCAAUUCUAAUGCUUCUAUGUUCAAAUGCCAAUAGAUAUUUCUAACUAUACACAAAUUGGAGUGCAAUAGGAUUGGAAGUAGUCUUGAUACAAUAAGAUAAUAUAAGAUGGAAAUAUAUUAUUGCAUUUUCUUCAAGAAGUAAUAACAAUGUAAAGUCAAAUUAUUCAUCUUUAAAGGCAAAAGCUUUGGCAGUAAUUUGGACCAUUGCUCAUUUUUUACCUUACUUGUAUAGUCAAUAUUUUAUAUUAAUAAUUGACCAUCAACCUCUCAAGUAGCUUGUGGAGUCAGACAAGCUUAUUAAUAAGCUUGCAAGAUGGGCUUUGUUGCUUCAAAAAUACAACUUUGAGAUUGUACAUUAGAGAAGUAUUACUAAUUUGGAUGCCAAUUGAUUUUUUCAUAAUCUAUGUCCUUCAAAAGAAGACUUAAUUGGAGCUCAGUGGCAUAGAAAUUGUGAUUGAAAGAUAGUUCUUAUAUAGCAUACAACCACAUACUUGACUUUAAUGUCAAGUUUUGCAACCAUAGUUUUUGAAUAGAAUUUAGAUGAAGAAUUAAAUAAGUAUCAAGUAAUUAGUAAUGUAUGGAAAGCUCUUAUAGGCUUGCAUAAGCUUUAAUAAAGAACAUUUUCUUCAAUUAUUUCUAACAUGGAAAUAAAUAUGAUUAGUCACCAAACAAUAAGAUUUUUUUGAAAGAAUAAUUUGUUAUUUCAGAUAUGAUCUGAUGGAACUAAGUACAUAAUUUCAAGGCCAUAUUAAAAUACAUAUUUAAUAUACCAAGUACAUGAAGAAUUUGAAUAUUUUAGAAUGUAUAAAAUAUAUUCUAUAUUAUAUAAUUAAUAUUAAUAGAGUGAUAUAUAUCAAUAAGUAGCUAUAUAUAUUUCUUAAUAUGAAAUAUGUAAUGAAGUUAGAUCAAGCUUUAAUACUUUAUUAUCUUAGUUGAAGCCAUUACUUAUUAUGGAUUUGGAUUAUCAUUGGUCUUUUGACUUUAUUGAACCACUUCUUGUAACUUCACAUACAGCUAAAUAUAUAUUGGUGAUGGUAGAAUAUUUUAGCAAAUCGAUUGAAUUUGUAUUUUUAUCACAAAUUUCUUUAGAAUUGGCAAAUAAGGCUUUUUUUUAUGAAAUAUUGGUACAUUUUGGAGUGCUUGUUAAAAUCUUAAUAAAUCCAAGAAGUAAGUUUCUUAAAAGUUUUGAAGAUUUAUAUAUUAAAGCUUUGAUAGAUCAUUGUAUCACAUUUAGAAAUCAUCUUGAGAUAGAUGGCCUAAUUGAAUAGAUUGUUUAAAUUAUCAAACAUGAGUUACAAAAGUAUGGAUUACUUCAUAGCAACUAUUGUAAUUGAAACUUAAUAUUAUUAAAAAUUAUAAUAGAUUAUUGCUUCAAUACAUAAGCAUCUUUAACAUCUUAUAGUCCUUACUAGUUAUUGUAUAGAUAGAAGACAAUUCUAUCUAGCUCAAUAUGUAAGAAGCUAACUUCAAUUGUGGACCUAAAUAAUUCUAAUGUUUGAACUCAAUGUCUAUAUGACCAAGUUUAGUUUUUUAAAUAAUCUAUAUCUAACGCUAUAAAGAACUUAUUUAUUAUUCAACAUCAUGAUACUUUAUAAUAUGCUUGCAUCUAUAAUCAAACUUAUCAAUCCAAAAAUAUUCAAAGAUGUGUAAUAUUUUUUAAAAUUUACUAAUUAUUAUCAAAUCUCUAUUAAGAAUUUUUUUCAAAUUGUGGCUCUUUUUACAUGCCAAAUAUGUAAAGAAAAAUUUAAAUAGAUGAAAAGAAUUGAAGCUUCUUUUGAAGCCUUAAAGUCAUCAUUUAUUUCUACACCAAUCUUUUACUAUGUUAACUUUUUUAAGGCAUUCUUUAUAGAAAUAGAUACAUCAAACUUUAUUAUAGAUGUUAUUUUUUUAGAAAUGGGAGCAAAUAACAAGCUCCAUUUGAUAGCUUUUCAUUCCAAAAAAAAUUUAGCAAGUAAGAUUAACUACAAGAUCAAUAAUAAAGAUCUUUUUAUAAUUAUGAAUUCAUUUUAAGAAUGGUAUCAUUAUCUAAAAAGCACUUCUAUUCCAGCCACUGUGUAUAUGAAGCAUAAGAAUCUUGAAUAUUUCAUAUUGACAUGUAUUUUGAAUUGCCACCAAGCCCAUUGGAGCAUGUCUUUAUCAAGAUUUGAUUUCAAGGUCACUCUAUUUCAAAGGUUAUUUAUAUAUUCCACAAGAAAAAGUACAUUUAUAGAUUCUUCAAGCAUAUCAUAAUUUUUUAAUAAUAUCAGAUUUUUAAUACAACAAAAAUUUAGAGCUUAUAUAUAAAGAUUUUUAGUAGCUUCAAAUAUAAAAGGCUAUGAAAGACUUUGUAUAAUCAUAUGAUAUUUUUUCAAGAUCCAAAAUUCCUCAUCAUUGAUCUUAUAAACUUCUUUAGCUUUUACCUAUUCUGGAACAAUUAUAAUCUUUUGUUUCCAUGGAUCUUCCAAUCUUAAGUUUAUAUGAUUUUAUAUUUUUGAUAUUAGAUUAUUCUACUAAGAUGGCAUAUUUUGUAUCAUAUACAAAAUCUAUCAUAGGUGAAGAAAUGACUAAAUUUAUUCUUUAUAAUAUUUAUCGCUAUUAUGGAUUGUCUCAAGAUAUUAUAUAAGAUAGGAAGAUUCAUUUUAUAUUAAGAUUUUAGAAAAUCCUUUUCAAAAUUUUAAAAGUAGAUAUAAAGAUCUCUUUGACUUUUCAUCUAAAAAUUAAUGGGCUAAUAGAAUAGGUGAAUCAAGUUUUAGAAUAGUAUUUGAGAUAUACUAUCAACUACCAUCAAGAUGAUUGGACAAAUCUUUUUCCAUUAGUAAAGUUUACAUACAAUAAUUUGAUAUAUUCUUCUACUCAAAAAAUAUCUUUUUUUAUCAAUUAUGGUUAUUAUCCACAACUUGAUACUUUGACUUUUCAAAAGUUGAUAAUCCUAUAGCAAAAGAUUUGGUAAAUCAUUUGUUAUAGCUAUAUGCAACAAUGAAGGUGCUAUUAAAGGAAGCUCAAGAAUAAAAAAAGAUCAACACAAAUGUCUAUUACAAGGUACAAUCACAACUCAACAUGGAUAAAAAAAUAUGAUUACUUUGUCACAAUAUCAAGACUACUUAUCUUUAUAAUAAAUUAGACUAUUAUAAGCUUAGAUCUUUUCUUAUUUGUAUAUAAGUCAAUUGUGUUGCUUAUCAAUUAUAUCUAUUGAAGUUUAUAAAGAUCCAUCUUAUAUUCUACAUAUUUCUUUUUUAGCCAUAGAAGACAAUGAAUAUUUCAAGAAGAAAAAAAAAAUGUCACUUCUUCCUAUAGAUGUAAAUAAUAAUCAAGAAUUUGAAAUGGAAGAAGUUUUAGAUUCAAAGUAACACCAUAAUAGAUUAAAAUAUCUUAUUUAUUGGUAUAGAUAUGAUAUUAAUGAAUACUUAUGGAAGUUAGCAAAGAAUCUUAUAAAUGCAGCAAAGGAGAUUAAGGCUUUUUAUUGAUAACAUCCAUCAAAAUCAAGAUGAAGAAUAGCAAAUCUUUGCUAUAAAAGAAAAAGUUCAAAAGAAGGUAGCAUUCUACCUUCUACCCUUACUUGUAGCUUUUGUGUGUUUAUGGUAUUAAAGAAAUAGAAAAUCAAUAAGCAACAGAUUUAAUCCAAGAACUACCAUUUGCAGACUUGUCAAAUGAAAUAUUGUAAUUGUCACAACCUUCAAGAUAACAUAAUCAAGAUGAAGUUCUUUUAAAACAACAUGUCUUUCCUUGAAUAGAUGGCAAAUUAUAAUGUAUUUGAUUUCACAACCUUAAAAGAGAUUCUUGAUGUUUGGUGAUUUUAUUAAAAAUAAGAAUGGCUCUUCAUGGUAUUUCAAAUAUUUUAUUUGAAGGUAGUUAUCAAGGCUUUAAUAAUAAUUAAAAAUAGGGUGGUCUUCUAAUCCUAAUAUAGGAUACUAUCAAUGGCUGAUAAGACCUAUCAAUUAGAUUUGAAAAAAACAAAGAUCAAAGUAUACAGCAAAUACAAUUUGCUACAUCUUAGAUUUUCUCCAUACAUGAUGACUACUCCUUGUGGAACUCGUCUCUAAAAGAAAAGAUAAUGUCACAUGCAUACAUUACCUAUGUAAUUAAAUAAAAGUAGGUAAAAAUAUAUUUAUUUUAUAAUAUCUUCUAAAAAAACUUCUUAGUAGUUUUAUAGACAUUGCUUUGACUUUAUAUAUAUUUUUAGUUAAUUAGAAAUCUUAAAAUUUGAUCAAUAAAUUAGUCAUGUAUCACACAUAUUAAUAGCUUAUAAAACAAGCUAACUAUAUAACACAUAUAUAGAUAACUUAUCUUAUAAAUUAAAGCAUAUAUCUAGCAAAAUCAAUACAUAUUAAAAGUCGUAUAGAAUAUUGUCAUAUAGUUCUUAGUUAGAGAAUAUAUAUGGAGACAAGAAUGAAGCCUUCUUUACUCUUGUAAAUAUUUUUCUAAUCUUUAAUCUUAGUUUAAUAUUUUUUAUUAUUUUUGUCUUUGAUAAUAGCCAUUCUAAUUUUUUUACUAUAUUAAUUUUGAAUGAAUAUCUAUUUUUUUUAGUAGCAAAAGAAUGUAUUGAGUUUUUGAUUCUUUGAGAUUCAUAUCUAAUACGGACAUACGCAUGUAAGCCAAUAUUUACAUGUAUAAAUAGGUAGAAGUAAGUAAAAGUAAGUAAAAGUAAGUUAAUUCUAUAGUAUUUGAUAUGGAAGCUUCUUAGAAGCUUUAAAGACACUGCUUUGACUUUAUAGAUAUCUUUAAUUGACUUUUUGGGAUAAGAAAUUUGAUUAACAAGUUGGCCAUGUGUGACACAUGUUGUUAGCUUGAAGACCAAGCUAAUUAUGUGGCCCACAUAUAGAAAAACUUACCUUGUAAGUCAAGGCAUGUAUCCUACAAAGUCAACACAUAUUGGAGGUCCUAUAGAAUGUCGCCACAUAGUCCCUAAUAAGAUAGUAUAUAUAGAGACAAGAGUGAAGCCUUCUUCAUUCUUCUCAACUUCUUUCUUGCUUCCAGUCUAGUUUCAAGGAUCUCUAGUUUUCUUGGCUUUUGGCAAUAGCCAUUUCAGUUUCUUUCUUAAUAUACAUAUCAAGUUAUUUCUAUUUUGUCAUCUUUCUUUGAGAGAAGUCUCACUUGUUUAUUUGUCUUUAUCAUGUUCUUGUCCUUGAUAGAUCAACAAGACUAUAUUUAUAAUAUCAGAGCUUUGUCUAAUCUUAAUUAAGAGUAGAUUACUCUUUUUUCUUGAUAAGACAUAAGCAUAUUAGAAGUUGAGGAUUACUCUCUUCUAAACUGAUAUUGUCUUUCGUAUUUAUUUUAUUCUCAAAUUCUCUCUUCUAUUUGUUGUGAGCGAUAUUAGACAUCUUCUCUUUUCUAAGUGUUAUCAUAGCAGAACUUGCUGAAAUGAAGAGUGCAAUGGCACAAAUGCAACAGCAAUUAAGGGAGUUAAUGCUUGCGAUACAUCAACUCAAUUUACCACCACAAGGAGCAACAAGAUUGGCAAGAAGUGAAGAUAUAGAAAUGAUUGGAGCUGCUUCAACAUCUACACCAAAUCAUGUCCUUUCUCCUAUGGUGGGACACCCUUCUAGUCUUAGAGAACUAAGAAUUACCCUAUUCGAGAUGUUUGAUGGUACCAGAUCAAACUUUAGAGGAUUUAUCAAUCAAGUACAACUUGUGAUUGAACUUCAACACCAAAGCUAUCCAACUCCAGGAUUACAAGUUAGAUUUAUUCGUACGCUUCUUUCAAGUUCAGCAUUAUCAUGAUUUUCAUUUUUUCUUGAAUGACGAGAUCCAAUAUUAGAUAAUCUAGAGGCUUUUUUGGCGGAGUUUCGAUCCAUGUAUGGAUAACAUGAUGCAAUUGGUGUUGUAACCAAAAAGAUCCAUAUUUUAGGACAAGAUAAUCGAUUAGUAACGUUGUAUGCUUCAGAAUUUUAACAACUUGUCACUAAUAUCAAGUGGGAUGAUGCUGCACUUAUUAGCCAAUUGUAAAGCUAAAUUUCAUCACUUGAUGAAACCUAUGCUAGACAACAAGUCCAAGAAGUGUCAUGGAUAUACAUAUAAUUACCUACAAGAGUCGAUAAAAGUAUAUAAAAGUAGAUAAAAGUAGGUUAAUUAUGCAAUAUCUUCUAGAGAAGCUUCCUAGAAGCUUCAUAGAUGCUGCUUUGACCUUAUAGGAGUCCAUAGUUGACUUUUACGUUAAAAACUUGGUCAACAAGUUAGCCAUGUGCCACACAUGUUGGUAGCUUGAAGGACAAGCUAACUACGUAGUCCACUCAUAGAAAACUUGCCUUGCAAGCAAAGACAUGUGGCCUAGAAUGUCAACACAUAUUGGAGGUCUUAUAGAGUAUCGCCACGUGGCUUCUAGUUAGAUAGUAUAUAUAGAGGCAAGAGUGAAGCUCUCUUCACUCUUGUCAACUCCUUUCUUGCUUCUAGUCUAGUUUCAAGGGUCUCUAAUUUUCUUAUCUUUUGGCAAUAGCCAUUUUAGUUUCUCUUACAAUAUAUAUACUUGUUUAUAUAUAUUGUGUUACCUCUCUUUGAGUGAAGGCUCACUUGUCUGAAUUUUUUUUCAUCGAGUUCUUGUCCUUGACAAAUUGACAAGAGUACACUUACAAUAUCAAAGCUUUAUUUUUCUUGAGUAAGAGUGGAUUAUCCCUUUCUCUUGACAAGACAUAAGCGUAUGAGAAGUUUGCGGAUUACCCACUUCUAAAGUGAUAUUGUUCUUAGUAUCUUCUUUGUUAUCAAGUCUUUCUUUUCUUUUAUCUUGAGUAGUAUCAAAAAAAAAAUUCUUCUUAGUGUCAUUAUGGCAAAGCUUGUUGAAAUGAAGAGUGCAAUGGCACAAAUGCAAGAACAAUUAAGAGAGUUAAUGCCUGCGAUGCAUCAACUCAAUUCACCAACACAGAAAAGAACAAGAAUAGCAGAAAGUGGGGAUAUAGAGAUGAUCAGAGCUGCUUCAACAUCUGCAACAAAUCACGUUCCUUCUCCAAUUGUACAACACCCUGUAACCACUAGAAAACCAAGAAUUGCCUUACCUGAGAAAUUUGAUGGUACGAGAUCAAAGUUUCGAGGGUUCAUCAAUCAAGUGCAAUUGGCAAUUGAACUUCAACCGCAAAGCUAUCCAACUUCAAGAUCACAAGUCAGGUUUAUUGGCACUCUACUUUCUGGUUCUGCAUUAUCGUGGUUUUCGUCUUUUCUUGAACAACGAAAUCCAAUAUUGGACAAUUUGGAAGCUUUUUUGGCAGAGUUUUGAUCUAUGUAUGGUGAACAGGAUGCAACUCGUGUUGCAAUAAAUAAGAUCCGAAUUCUACAACAACGAAAUUGCUCAGUAAUAGUGUAUGCUUCAUAAUUUCAAUAACUUCCAAUUGACAUCAAGUGAGAUGAUGCUGCACUCAUCAAUCAAUUUCUUUAUGGAUUGCAAUACGAAGUAAAGAAAUUGAUGCUCAACUUACCUGAUCCUCAAACUUUAAGUCAAGCAAUCGAUUUUGUGGUAAAAUGUGAUAAUCGACUUUUCGAAAUUCGAUCCGAGAAUCAUUCACGGGAACCUCAAUGUUAUUACUCAAUGGCAACAUCAACAUCUUUGCCAAACGUACAUUCGGAAGUAGAAGACAUGCAAAUUGACGUGGUACGUUUUAAACUCCUAAUUGAGCAAGAAAAGAUUCGUCGUCGUCAAGAAGGAUUAUGUUUAUAUUGCGGAGAACCUAAGCACACUGCUCAACAUUGUCUAAAGAAACGACGCAACUAUAAAAUGAGGGGUACGACGGUUAAAGAAGACAACAUGUCAAAAAACGGAUUCGUCCAGCUACAAUAGGGACCACGCAGCUGGAACCUUGUACAAUUCCUAAUGAAGGUCCUAUCCUCUCCUUAGAAUCCUCUCCUUGUUUUAUAAUAGACUUGUAUUUAGGACCUAAGAAUUACAAAGCCUCUGCUUUAUUAGAUUCGGGAGCCUCAGCAUAUUUUUUAGAUGAAUAAUUUGUUAAAAGUCGUAAAAUAUCUUUUGUACAGAAACCUAAACCAGUACAUGUAGAAGUCAUAGAUGGUCGUCCCUUGUCUUCUGGAGAUGUCACUCAUGAAACUCAUCCUAUAAAAGUAACAAUAGACGGUCAUGAUAGCUACAUAGCUUUUAACAUAAUUAAAUCCCCGUCCAAUCCAGUUAUUUUAGGUUUAUCCUGGCUAGAAAAAUAUAACCCUCAAAUAGAUUGGAAUUUGCGUAAACUUGACUUUUCUUAGAGCGUUAUUAAUAAUUCUACCAACUAAGUAAAAAAUUAUAAGUCUAGUAUAAUAAAACCCGUACUGAUAGGUACAAAAGCAUUUAUACACGCAGCAAAAGAAGGAUCAACUUUUGCUAUUUAUGCUGCACCUAUUUCUGAAAACGGAAAGACUUCAAGUGGCAUUCCAAGUCAAUAUCAGGAAUAUCAAGACGUUUUUGAGAAAAAAAAUGCAGAUAUUCUUCCUGAGCAUCGCCCAUAUGAUUGUUCAAUCGACCUCAAGGAAGGAACUCAGCCACCAUUUGGACCAAUUUACAGUUUAUCGCAAGAUGAGAUGGCUGAACUGAAGACAUAUAUUGACGAGAAUUUAGCGAAGAAUUUCAUACGCCAUUCAAAAUCUCCAGCAAGAGCUCCAAUUCUAUUCGUAAAGAAAAAAGAUGGAUCUUUACGAAUGUGUGUUGAUUAUCGAGGACUCAACAAGAUCACAAUCAAGAACAAGUAUUCAUUACUUUUGAUAUCAAGACUCCUUGACCAGCUGAAUCAAGCUAAGAUCUAUACAAAAAUAGAUCUAAGAGGAGCAUAUAAUCUAGUACGGAUCAAAGAAGGAGAUGAAUGGAAGACUAAAUUUCGAACCAGGUAUGGACAUUUCGAAUAUAAUGUCAUGCCCUUUGGACUCACGAAUGCACCAGAUGCUUUUCAACAUCUCAUGAAUGAUGUAUUUCGUGAAUUCUUAGACAAUUUUGUCGUCUGCUAUCUAGACGAUAUCCUGAUCUAUUCUAAGAACGUCGAAGAACAUGAAAUAUAUGUUUGUCAAGUAUUACAAAAACUUAGAGAUGUAGGAUUGUACGCCAAGAUGGAAAAGUGUGUAUUUCUUACUACUCAAGUUGACUUUUUAGGAUACAUCAUUUCAAAUGAUGGUCUCAUGAUGGAUUCUAAGAAAGUCCAAACAAUCAUGGAUUGGAAGAUUCCAAGGACAGUAAGAGAUGUCCAAUGUUUCUUGGGAUUUGCCAAUUACUAUCGGAUCUUCAUCAAAGAUUUCUCACGAGUUGCAGCUCCACUUACACGCUUGACUAAUAAAGAUAAAUUCCAAUAGAAUCAAGAAGCGGAAGCAGCAUUUGAAGCCUUGAAGUCAUCGUUUGUCUCUGCACUAGUCUUAUAUCGUGUUGACUUUUCCAAGGCAUUUUUUAUGGAAACAGAUGCAUCAGAUUUUGCCUUGGGUGCAGUUUUAUCACAAAUGGGAACAGAUGACAAACUUCAUCCGAUAGCUUUUCAUUCAAGAAAAUUCUCAGCAGCCGAGAUCAAUUAUGAGAUCCACGAUAAAGAACUUCUUGCAAUCGUGGAUUCGUUUCAAGAAUGGCGUCAUUAUCUAGAAGGCGCUUCUAGUCCAGUCACUGUGUAUACAGAUCACAAGAACCUCGAGUAUUUCAUGUCAGCACGUGUGUUGAAUCGUCGUCAAGCUCGUUGGAGUAUGUCUUUGUCAAGAUUCGAGUUCAUUAUCACUUAUCGGCCAGGAAAACAAUAAGGUUUGUCCGAUGUCCUAUCUAGACGUUCUUAUUUUGUACCAAAAGAAGGAGAUGCAGCUUUUGAGCAACAAAGAACGGUCCUCUUGAAAUCGGAGCAAUUUCAUCUCCGAGAAAUGAAAUCAACAUUGACUGUUGAUUCAACUUUUCUCAAGCAAAUCCAGUCCAGUAUGUCCUUAGACCCUCUUGUUCAUGAUAUCGAGAAUAAUUCUUCCAAGUCUCAUGAUCCUUCUAAGUUCGAGUUCAAGAAUAAUCUAUUAUAUUUUGAAGGACGCCUAUAUGUUCCAGAAAGAGAAGCACGUUUACGUGUUCUUCAAGCACGUCAUGACUUUCCAGCAGCAGGGCACUUUAGAUAUAAUAAGACUCUGGAACUCAUAUCAAGAGAUUUUUGGUGGCCACAAAUGUGGAAGUCAGUCAAAGACUUUGUACAAUCAUGUGAUAUUUGUUCAAGAUCAAAAACUCCUCGUCAUCGACCUUACGGACUUCUUCAGCCAUUACUUAUACUAGAACAACCAUGGUCUUCUGUUUCUAUGGAUUUCAUCACAAAUCUUCCAAGCUCAAGAUCUUAUGAUUCUAUAUUUGUGAUAGUAGAUCGUUUCACCAAGAUGGCACACUUUGUGCCAUGUACAAAAUCUAUCACAGGUGCAGAAACAGCUAAGCUUUUCAUUGAUAAUAUCUAUCGCUAUCAUGGAUUACCAAAAGAUAUCAUAUCGGAUAGGGGAACUCAAUUUGUGUCAAGAUUUUAGAGGACCUUUUUCAAGAUUUUAAAAGUGGACAUAAAGCUAUCUUCCGCUUUCCAUCCUCAAACUGAUGGACAAACAAAGCGCGUAAACCAAGUCUUGGAGCAGUAUUUAAGGUGUACUAUCAACUACCAACAAGAUAAUUGGAUAACCCUUCUGCCAUUGGCAGAGUUUGCUUAUAAUAAUACAGUACAUUCUUCCACGCAACAAACAUCUUUCUUUGCCAAUUAUGGCUAUCAUCCACGACUUGAUACUUUUGAUUUUUCAAAAGUUGAUAAUCCUGUAGCAGAAGAUAUGGCAAAUCGGUUGUCAGAGUUACAUGCAAUAAUGAAGACGCAAUUGAAGGAAGCUCAACAACGACAAAAGAUAAACGCAAAUCUAUAUCAUAAGGAACAACCACAACUCAACGUGGGUGAUAAGGUAUGGCUACUUCAUCGCAAUAUCAAGACUACUCGAUCUUGUGACAAGUUGGAUUAUCGUAGGCUUGGCCCCUUUUCUGUUUCUGAACAGAUCAACCCAGUUGCAUAUCGGUUACAUCUAUCGGAGUCAAUGAAGAUCCAUCCUAUAUUCCACAUGUCUCUUCUUGAACCAUAUAAGACAGUGGAUAUACAAAGAAGAAGACAAAUGCCACUGCCUCCUAUAGAAGUAGAUAAUAAUGAAGAAUUUGAGGUGGAAGAGAUAUUAGACUCAAGGCGGCGCCGAAAUAAGCUGGAAUAUCUUGUUCAUUGGCACGGAUAUGAUAUUAGUGAACGCACAUGGGAGCCAUCCAAGAAUCUAGCAAAUGCAUCAGCUAAAGUCAAAGUUUUUCAUCAAUGACAUCCAUCAAAACCAAGAUGAAAAUCUCUUUUAUAAAAGAGACAAGAUUGAGGCAAGAUAACAUUCAAUUUUCUAUCCUUGUUUGUAACUUCCUUGCAUUUGUGACGCUAAUUAGAUGGAGAGCCAACAACCAGCAGAUUCAACUCAAGAACCUUCGUUUGCUGACUUACCGGAUGAGACAUUGCGAUUGUCACAACCUUCAAGACGACGCAACCGAGAUGAAGACCCUCAAGAACGACAUGUUCUUCCUCGAAUAGAUGGUGAGAUACAACGCGUUUGGUAUCACGACCUUGGAAGAGAUUCUCGAUGUUUGGUAAUAUUACUGGAGAUAGGAACGACUGCUAAUGGUGUUUCAAAUGUAUUAUUUGAAAGAAGUUAUGAAGGCCUCAAUAAUGAUCAAAAAAAAGGGUGGUCUUCUUGCCCUGGAAUGGGACACUAUCGAUGGCUAAGAGGACCCAUCAACUACCUUCGAAGAGAACAGAGAUCAAAGUAUGUAGCAAACACAAUUCGCUGCAUAUUAGACUUUCUCAACAUAUAAUCACCGCUCCUCGUGGAACUCGUCCCUAGAAGAGGAGGUAAUGUCACGGAUAUACAUAUAAUUACCUACAAGAGUCGAUAAAAGUAUGUAAAAGUAGAUAAAAAUAGGUUAAUUGUGUAAUAUCUUCUAGAGAAGCUUCCUAGAAGCUUCAUAGACGCUGCUUUGACCUUAUAGGAGUCCAUAGUUGACUUUUACGUUAAAAACUUGGUCAACAAGUUAGCCAUGUGCCACACAUGUUGGUAGCUUGAAGGACAAGCUAACUACAUAGUCCACUCAUAGAAAACUUGCCUUGCAAGCAAAGACAUGUGGCCUAGAAAGUCAACACAUAUUGGAGGUCUUAUAGAGUAUCGCCAUGUGGCUUCUAGUUAGAUAGUAUAUAUAGAGGCAAGAGUGAAGCUCUCUUCACUCUUGUCAACUCCUUUCUUGCUUCUAGUCUUGUUUCAAAGGUCUCUAGUUUUCUUGUCUUUUGGCAAUAGCCAUUCCAGUUUCUCUUACAAUAUAUAUACUUGUUUAUAUAUAUUUUGUUACCUCUCUUUGAGUGAAGGCUCACUUGUCUGAAUUAUUUUUCAUCGAGUUCUUGUCCUUGACAAGAAGUGGAAUUGGAGAGCUCCCAAUUGUAUAAUUGUUAGAUUAAUUUAAAUCUUUAUAUUAAAAAUUUAAUUAAUUUUAGGCCUUCCAAGUAAUAGUUACCAACAUUAAAUUAACAUAUUAAAUAAAAUUUAUUAUGCAAAUACAAUAAAAAUAAUUAACUAAGUUAUUACUAUUAAUUGACCAUAAGAAUAAAAACUUAAGUUUGAAUUAAAAGCUAGGUUAAAAGUUAAGUUAAAAAAAAUUAAAGUUAAAAAUUAAGAUUAAAAAGUUAAGUUAAAAGUUAAAUUUAAAGGUUAAAUAAAAAAGUAAGUAAAAAGUUAAAAUUAAAGGUUAAGUGAAAAGUUAAAAUUAAAAAUUAAAGUUAAAAAUUAAAAAGUUAAAAUUAAAGUUAAAAGUUAAAGUGAGAAUAAUAAAGAUUAAAGUUAAAGUUAAAAUUUAUUAGCCAAAAAGUAAAAUAUGGAGCUUACAAGUCACUGUGAAGACGAUAUUAAAAAUAAAGUAAGAGAGGUAAAAGCGAAGGUACCUUGACAACACGUAAGGAUAGAAGGCAGCAACUCCCUUCUACUCCAAAAUUCGCCAAAAUUUGUAAUCGGCUUCAAUUUGAUUGAUUCUUAGCUUAUUGCAAGGAUGACUUAAAGGCGCUUUUGAUACAACAAUCCUUGUUGCAAUCUAAUUAUCCAAUCGUGAGAAUACCUCCUUUGAAGUUGAGUGAUCCAAACUACCGCGGUGACCAACCCUCUUCACUUAGAAAUUCACUAAACAUUUAGAUUGUUUUAAAAUUCAACAAAACUUAUGCCUUUCAGAGCUUGGCUUAUAAAGCUUGAUGCUCCCAAAAUUUCAAAUAAAUCCAAUUAAUAGGCACUGAGAAAUGCCUUUCCAAACUCGAUUGAUUCAAACUGCAAAGGCAGUCGACUCCCUCAAACUCAGAAAUUCACCAAAAAUUCCUUCUUACUCCAAAUCAAGCAAGUAUUAUCUUGUUGGAAAGCUAACAAAAAAAUCUAAAACUGUUUAGAAUCUUAUAUUUAAAAAAAAAGAAAUUGAGUGACUGAUUGAAGAAAAUCCGAGGCCCUUGAAACCCUUGGGAUAUAUGAAAGGCCGAGGAGAUAUCUACCUCAAUGAAACAUAUUUUAAAACUUAAUGACCAUCCUUCACAAUUCAAAAUCCAUACAUAUACAAUCACAAGGUUCACAAUGAGAAUUAAAAUCUAAAUAAAAUUAAGAUUAGGGUUUUGGCCAAAUUUUGGCACGGCUCCGCCCUUCAUCCAAAAGAGGAGAGAGAGAGGGCUUGGAAAACCAAGCCUCUCUUAUACAAUUGAGUGGAGGCUCGUAGAAGGGUGGCUACAUCUCCACCCUUGAUUUUUAAGAUCCCUAAUCUAGAUCUACGGCCUUCAUUCAUCCAAGAGCCAAUCUUGUUACCAAGGCUGAUGGCUCUUGUAAGUGGUCAAAAAAACAUUUUUUUUAUAAAUCUAACUUCACUAUUAUGUUCAAAACACCUUUUGAAGCUAAGAUCGACUACUCACAUGCCUCAAUCCAUGCUCAAUUAUAAUUUUCAUGGAAGUUUUUACUUACAAGGAUCUUGGCAAUUUUUGUGAAAUUCUUCAAAAUGAGAAUUUCAUUGCUUCUCUUGUAAUUUGAAGGAGAGGUUGCUGAUCUUGUUUUCUUCACUCCACAAGGUAAAUCCGGUGCCACCAUUGCAUUAAAAAGACUCUCAUUAAGUAGAAGAACCACCAUAUCGCUUAAAUUUGUCGAAUUUGGAGGAAAAUCCAAAAUUACCAUUGCUAACUUUCCUAAAUCUUUUAAAGAAUUAUAAUUCCAACUCCUAAGUUAUAUAAAUGAUCAUAGAUGCAUUCAUAGGCUUUUAGCCAACCCUUAUAGUAAUGACUAAUAACCUCUAAAUUAUUAAACUAACUAAGUUGCUAUUCUAAUUUUUUAACUCUUAUCACUUUAGUCCUAAUUAAUCUAAUUCAAGGAAUUAGACUAUGAUUUAUACCAUCAAGGAUUGUAAUCCUAAAAAUUCUAUAAAACUAAAUUCCACUUAUAUAAAUCUUAAUCUAACAUAUUUAAUUAUCAUAAAAUAGGAAAAUAACAAAAAUUUAAAUUUUAGAGUAUAAUUGAGAGCUCUUACCAAUUUCUCUACGGAUUACAAUAUGAGGUAAAAAAAUUAAUGUUCAACUUACCUGAUCCUCAAACAUUGAGUCAAGCAAUCGACUUUGUUGUGAAGUAUGACAAUCACUUUUUUGAAUUCUGAUCUGAGAACCAUACAAGUGGACCUGAACGUUACUAUAAUUCCAUAGCAACACCAAUAUCUCUUCAACACAUACAUUCGGAAGUAAAGUAUAUACAAAUUGAUGUAGUACAUUUCAAACCUCUUAUUGAGCAAGAAAAGACUCGUCGUGGUCAGGAAGGAUUGUGCUUAUAUUAUGAAGAACCUAAGCAUAGUGCUCAACAUUACCUAAAGAAGCGAUGCAACCAUAAAAUGAAGAGUACGAUGUUGUGUUGCAACACGACUAUAUGAUAAAAAAUUUAAAUAGAAAAAAUUUAUUAAUAUUUGGACAUCUUAGAUGUUAGAAAUAGUGGCUAAUUCUAGUGCCAAUAUUUAGGGGCUAGUUAAUAUCACCCCAUUGCAAGUUGUACCACCAAACAUGACAAUAGCGUAUAUUCUACCGGUGUCAUCAAACCAAAUACCAUUUGUAUCAACGAGAUGACCAGGAUCAUUUUCUAACCCUAUAUGGAACAAGCUUAGUAAGUAUAUAUCAGUGGAGACACCCAAUAUGUCUAAUGGAGGUACAAGAAAACCACUUCGUUGUUUCUGUUGUAGACAGAUUGGUCAUUAUGCUGAUGAAUGUUUCAAUCCCAGAGCCACUGACAAUUACGUGCCAGUGUGUGGAAAUAGCAAGCAGUUGGUGCAUACUUAUCAAUAAUGUAAUGUUCCAUUCAAUUUCAAUAAUUGGGAUCAGAAGAUUCAAAGCCAGGGAAAAAUUGAGGUCUUCAAGAUUCUCCAAUAAAUCAAGAUGGAAUGAGUCCUAGCCGUUCUUAUUAGGAGUCAACAAAAGAAGAAAGGACCAAUUUAAUAUUUAGGUGAGUCUGAUGUAAAGGGCCAAUUUGACCCAAUUAUGGAGACAUCCAAUCCAAGUCCUAGUAUGGGCUUCUUAUCCAGUAUGAGACCUGACUGAGUUGGGCAACUCAAUGAGGUCUCAAAUAUGGAGGCUUCGGUUCCAUUUCAAGCUAUUUCAUUGUUUGUGUUGUUUUGGAGAAACAUCUUUUCUAUGAAAAGAUCUUAGAGGCGGGAAUUCUAUAGAGGCGGGUCUGCUGUUCUAAUUUGGAGUCCAGGGUAGAAGAAUAGGGGACCUCACGGAGUUAAAGGAAAGGAGAGGAAAAAGAAGGGGGCAUUUGGAGAUCGGAAUUUUGAGAUCGGAGAGCUUGCUUCAAGCUCCUUCAAAAGGUGUAGAAUUGGAUUUCAUAGGAUUUAGAAGAACUUUGCAAUUGUUGCUCAAAGUCAGUGUUUCUAUUGAUGAAUUAGGUUUUUGCAAUAAAGUAAAGGCUAGUACUCUUGACUGUUUUGUAAAAUUAGAGAGACAUCUAUGGUUGAAAUUUUAGAGGUAUCUAUAUGGUUGAGUAUACUAAGUGUAUGCAAAAAUUUGUAUUAUUUUUAUGGUAUGGAUAGAAGAUAUUUGAUCAUUAGUAUAAAGAGGUAUCAAAAGUUGGCAUAUUGGAGUUGUUUAGUUUUUUUGUAAUAUCUGAGAUCUAUUAGCUAAAAUAAGGUGAAUUUUAAUACAAUAAAUUGAGGACUUAAAGGUGGAGCUACACACAAAGUUUGAAUGAGAAUUGAUGGUCAAAUUGAAAAUUAUAGCUUGUUGAGGCUCACUGUGUAGGAUUAAGAUUUAAAAAAUAAAUAAAUAAAUAAAUUUUAAAAAAUUAAAAAAGAAUAAAUAAAAUAGAAAUAAAAAUAAUAAAUAAUAAAAGAAUCUAUACUUAUAAUAUCUAGAAGCUAUUAAAAAUAGUAUUCUAAGUACUUUAUAUUGGGAUUAAGCUUUUAUAUUGAAAUCCGAAAUAGUUUGUGUUUAGAUAGUUGAAACCUACUAGACUACUAAGAUACUUGUAAAAAAUCAUUUUAUCUUCCAUAGUCACAUGCCCAUUGCAUUUUCAAGCUAGAUAGCACAUAAUACGACAUAAGCGGUGAAUUCGACAUGAAACGCUUGAGAUGGGAGGUAUUGGGAUUCGUUUAUUUUUAUUUUUAUUUUAUGGAAAACAAGAAUAAAAAUUUUGAAGGAGCUUCAAGUAGAGCUUCUUCUAAAGGACAAGGUAUAUAUAUGGAUCUAUCUAUUGCUGGUAUAUUUCAAGCCUUAUCAUUAUCUAUAUAGCAACAGCAAAGCAAUGAUCGUAAAGAAGCUUUAGCAACCAAAGCAUUGCAAGCAGUGGUCAAUAAAAUUGAUCAAUUUGAUGGAAGGGAUAUUUCAAGAUAUUUAAGAUGUUAUGUUCAAGAAAUGGAAUUAAAUCGGAUUUCUGAGAAGAAGAUGGUUGAAUUAUUUGGACUUGCCAUGAUAUCGGAAAUAACAGAGCAUAUUACAUCAAUUAUGGAGUAUUAUGGAAAUUCAUGGGAGAUUUUUUCACAUACAUUAAAAGAUGAAUAUUUUUUGGAGGACACUAAUCGUAUUACUAAGAAACUAUUUCUAGAAUGGAUUGAGCGGCCUAAUAAGAAUUUGCAAGCAAUAGAGCUACUAAGGGAAUUUGAGAGGCAGUAUUCUUAAUUAUCGAAGGUAGAAAAAUUGACAUUAGAGUCAAACAAGGUUGAAUUAUUUCUUCAAGCUGCUGAUAGAGAGUUAUUGGAGUUAUAGGAAAUUAGAGUUUCUUCUUGAAGACAAAGAAGAAGAUGAAGGAUUGACAACAAAGUAGAAAAAUGUUGAAAAUGCGGUGGGUUUGCUUGUAAAAAGAGAAAAGAAGAAGGAUAGGAGUAAUAUUCUAAAAGCAGUACAAGCACCUAAAAUUCCAAUACAUACAACACGACCAACAAUGUCUACUGUUCAACCUUCAACAACUUUAUCGAAGAAAGAAGAGAUGGGUAUUGAAGAAAUUGUAUGUAGAAUGCAAGAUCUUUAAAUCAAAUUGACAAGACUUAAAGAAAAUACUUCUAUAAAAAAUUUGAAGAAUGUUUCAAAACAAGGAUAUGUACAAAGAUGUAUUUAGUGUGAUGACAUUUCAACUACUAGGAAGGAUUGUAGUGAAUUUAAUAAUAUCGUGCAGCAUGGAGUUAUUUAAUGGAAAGAUGGAAAGUUUGUGUUAAAGGAUACAGAGGAUCUUCUUUAAACCAAUUUUUGUAAAGGAGAUAUGAGAGCAUUGAUUAAAGAUUAUUUAAUAGAACAUGGAAUAGCAAUACGAGAAAAUACAAGUUAUGGUACUAGAGUAGAUGAUAACUUUGGUGGAAGUAUAGAAACUAGUGAAUUUUGGGCUUCUACUAUUUUUACAAUGUAAAAAGGAAAAAUACCUCGGGAAGCAUUAUUAAGGAUAAUAGCUACAAUACGAGGUGCAACAUGUUAGAAAGAUCCUAUUGAGUUUUUUUUCAGUUCAUGCAUAUAUUGCUAAGAGCCAACAUGAAGCUUUGAUGGAAGAAAAGAGACGAGAAAAUUUUGAUGAUACAAGAGAAGGAAAUUCUUCUAAGAAGCAAACUCGAGGAGAUAAGGCUGAUGAGGUAGCUUCACAAGAAUUACCUAUAAAGGAUACUUCGGCAUCGUUGGAAGAAAAAACAAAGGAGACAAAAGAAAAGGAUAAAUCAAUUGCUUAUAAGUUACUUGUUGAUAUUGAAGCGGCAACAAAUUUAAAAGGGGUGUUGGAAGAACUUAUAUUAAAUGAUAAGGUGGAAUUCACAUUAAAAAAAAUUUUGAGAAUUGCAAAGAAGGAGUUUCAUGAUGUUAUCAUUGAUAGCAUAAAGCAAAAGAGUCAAUUAAUGGAUGAAGCUAGAAUGAGUCAUGCUAUUGAUGCAGAAUUAUAUAAAGAUGAAGAAGAGGUUGAUAAUGGUUAUAAAUAAUCAAAAAAUGAAAAGAAUGGAUAUAAUCAACGAGUAUGUUUCAAAGAUUUUAGUGAUAAGGAAAUGGAAGCUUUAAGCCAUUAUACUCAAAAAUAUUGGACAAGGGCAAUUAUUGAAGUAUUGGUGAAAGUAAGAAAUAUAGAAGAGCCAAUUAUUGCUUUAGUUGACCAUGGUUCUAAAAUAAAUCUUAUGUCUAAAGAUCUUUAUAAGAAGUGGAAAUGGCCAAUUGAUAUGGAAUAUAGAUGGACAAUACAAGUAGCUAAUAACACACAAGGUGAAUUAUAUGGAGCUUGUCUAGAUAUCAAAAUUUGGAUUGGAGAUAUUACGACAGAACAACAUUUCUUUGUUCAAGAUACGUCUUAUCUAUUGAUUUUAGGACAAUCUUAUAUUACGGCAACACGGAUGGAAAUAAAAGUACUUGACGGCGGUUCUGCUUAUGCAAGGAUACUUAGUAAAGAUGGAAGGAAAGUUGUACAAUUUCUAACAGUACCUCCUAAUCAUGAACGAAAUCGAGAUAGGUUGAGGGAGAAACCAUUGCCAAGGAUUGUUGAAGGAUUUAAGGACUUUAGAGAAGUACCACUAUAAAGCAGGAUAAUGGAGGUACAAAAGAGGAGGUACUCUCACGAGAUGAAGGUACCUUUGAUGCGAGUUUUAUUGAUAUUUUUGAGAAUGGAAAUAUUAUGUAUAAGAAGUUGAUGAUUUUAAAAGAAAAGAAAGAAAAAGAUUAUAUAAUAUUGAAAGAGAAUUACAAAAGUUAGGAACAUUAGAAGAUGAUGAGAAGAUUUUAGGUGUUUAUAAAGAAAAUGGAUUGGACGAUUUUUUAGAAUUAAUUACAUCUAUUGGAUUAGAAGAUGAUGAUAAGAUUGUGAAAAUUCAUUCGCAGGAGGUUUUUUCUAUACUUGAAUCUUUUCAAGCACCAGAAGUUAUUAUAGAGAUAAAAUAUAAAACAAUAGAUAAAAAAGUAAAACCUGUUGCCGGACCUUUAAUAGAAGAUUCUAAGGAACAAAUGAAAGAAGCAUCAAAAGUAGAGAGUUUAAGAGAUCUAAAGAAGAUUGGACAUCAGUUUAUAAAGGAGGCUUUUGAAGAAUUGAAGAUUGGAUGUGAUGGUUCUUUAUUUCCAAGAAAAAUUGAAUAUUUUAAAAAAAUGCUUACGAAAUGAGGUAAAUCAUUUACCUUUGGAUCUUGAGAAAUAGGAUGUAUAGAUCCUAAUAUUGUUGCUCCUAUGGUUAUCUUUACAGUACCUUAUGUGCCUUGGAACUUAAGGCCAAUUCCCGUACCGAGGGCACAUUUACCUAAAUUGGUAGAAUUAUUGAAAGAAAAGAUGCGAAUGAAAAUUUUGGAGCCUUCUUUUGUUCCAUAUUCUAGUCAUUGGUUUACAGUGCCUAAGAAAAAUGGAUCGUUAAGUUUGAUUCAAGAUAUGCAACUAAUGAAUGCAGUAACUAUAAGAAAUACAAGUAUAGGAUCUUUAAUAGAUGAGUUUGUAGAAGCAUUUAUGAAAAGGACAAUUUAUUCAAUGGGUGAUUUAUAUUUGGGUUAUGAUCAAUUUUAACUUGCGCAUGGGAGUAGAUAUCUAACAACAAUGAGAACACCACUUGGAUUGCUUAAAAUAUGUACUCUCCUAUAAGGUGCUACUAAUUUAGUUGCACAUAUGAUGAAUGGGAUGAACAAGGUACUAAAAAACUUCAUUCCUGAAAAAACUAUGUCUUUUUUAGAUGAUGUUCCUAUCAAAGGAUGUAAACAAGGAGAAAAAGAUGAAAUUUUAGAUGAAAAGGGGUAUUGCAAAUAUGUUGUUGAUCAUAUACAAGAUUGAGAAAAGAUUUUAACUCGACUUGAAGAGAUUCAUCUUACACUUUCAAAAGAAAAAUCUACAUUUGGAGUGCAGAAAGUUCUUAUUGUUGGGCAUUUGUGUGGGUUUUAUGGGAGAAAGCCAGAUCCAAGCAAAGUUGAUGCAAUUGGAAGGAUGAAGGAUUUAUGUGGUUCUUUAACAGAAGUAUGUAGGUUUUUAGGAGCUUGUGUAUUUUAUCAUAUAUGGAUUCCUCAUUAUACUCAUGUAGCAAAUCCAUUGUAUGAAUUAUUACGUAAGGAUUAUCGAUUUAAAUGGGAAAGAAAGGAUACUGAAGCAAUGUAGAAGCUAAAGGAGUUAUUGGUGAUACCUCCAAUUUUAAGAAAAAUUGAUUAUGACUAUAAUAGACAAGUAAUUCUUACUGUGGAUACUAGUCCUAUUGCUAUUAGAUGGGCUGUGAGUUAAGAUGAUUCAAGUGGAAAUAGAUUUGUAGUUCGAUUUGGAGCUAAAGUUUUAAGUAUUCGUCAAUGUACAUAUUCGCAAGUCAAAAGAGAACUUUGGGGAGUUAUUUUGGCUAUGAAAGCUGAAAGGGAUUAUUUGAUUGGUACAGCAAUAGUAAUUGAAAUAGAUUGGUUGCCAUUACUUGAAAUGAUUACUAAUUGUUCAAUGCUCGAUAUUGUAAUGUUAAGAUGGAUUGCUUAUAUUGAGUCAUUAAAUCUAGAAUUUAAGCAUGUUGGUGGAAAAAAUAAUUUAGUAGCAAACAUACUAUCUAGAGCAAGAUAUGAAAGAGAAGACAAAAUGGUUGAAGACAUUGAUGAUGUUGGAUCAAAAUUCUAUUCAGUAUUAAAUCUUAACAAAGAAGACAAGCUAUUUCUUGAAGAAUUUUAUGAAGGAGAAUUAUUGGAUAUUGGUCAUUACUUGAAUACCUUGACUAAGUAAGAAAAUUGGUCUACAAAACAAUUUAAACAAAUAAAAAAAAAAGGCAUAUGGAUUUUUGUUUCAAGACAAAUUCUUAUGGAAGAGACCAAAGAAAGGAAUUGGAAUGCUACAAAGAGUGAUAGGCAAUAAGAAAGAGAAACAAAAAUUAUUAAAGCAGUUUCAUGAUAGUUUAUGGGCAGGACAUAGAGGAAUUUGGGCUACUUUUGCUAAGCUUAAAGAAUGAUAUUGGUGGAAAAAUAUGUAUUGAGAUGUUCUCUUAUUCGUAAGGUCAUAUGAAAUUUGUCAAACAUAUUCUAACAUAUGACAUCGAGAUAGUCUUCAUCUUACAUAUCCUCUAGUUAUUCAUUUUAAAUGGGUUGUUGAUUUAAUUAUUAUGCCAAUCGAGUUAUGGCAAAUGAGAUAUUUGGUCUUAGUUCGUGAAGAUUUAUCAAAUCAAGUAGAAGGAAGAGCAUUGAGAACAAAAUCUAUAGAAGAAAUUUGUAGAUUUUUGCUUAAAGAUGUCAUUUGCCGCUACGGAUGUGUAGAAAAAAAUCACUGCAGAUCGUGGAGAAUUAAAUACAUAAGAAGCUCGUGAAUUCUUUGAAACAUGUGGAAUUAAAAUAUCACUGACUAUUGCUUAUAAUCAUGAAGGAAAUGCAAAAAGUGAACAUGAUCACCCAUCGAUUGUAAAAGCAUUAGUUAAAGCUUGUAAUAGGAGGGUUAGAGAAUGGCCAUGACUUUUGUCAUUUGCAUUAUGAGCUGAUCGAACAACUCAUAGCUCAAUAAUGGGAUAUAUGCCUAUUGAGCUUAUAAUAGGUCAAAAACCAAUUAUGCCAAUUGAAAAAAAAGUACCUACUUGGAGUAUGCUACCAUGGAAAGAUGGAUUGAGAAGAGAAGAACUUCUAACUAUUAGAAUUCAACAAUUAUAGCAAAAAUCGAAAGAUGUACAAAUAGCAUUAAAAAGGUUAAAAAGAUCAAGGUUACAAAACAAGGCAUGAUUUGAUAAGCAGCAUCGAUUGAGGCCUAAAGCAAUUGAAGAAGGUGAUUGGAUUUUGGUCUAUGAUAGUAGCUUGGACAAUCAACAUAGUACUUUAAGGAAGUUUUUUAAGCGAUGGUUUGGAUUGUUGUCGUGUUGUAUCAUGACUAUAUGGUGAAAAUGUAAAUGAAAAAGAUAUUAUUAAUAUUUAGUCAUCUUGGAUGUUAGAAACAGUGGCAAAUUUCAGUGCCAAUAUUCAGGGUCUAUUAAUGUCACCCCAUCGGCGUCAUCGAACUAAGUACCCUCCAUACCAACGGGCAAUCAGGAUCAUUUUUCAACCCUACAUGGAACAAAUCUAGUAGGUAUAUACUAGUGGAGACAUCCAAUAUGCAUAAUGGGGGUGCAAGAAGACCACUUCGUCGUUUCUAUUGCAGACAGGUUGGUCAUUAUAUUAAUGAAUGUUUCAAUUCCAAAGCCAAUGAUGAUUGCGUACCAGUGUGUAGGAAUUACAAGUAGUCGGGGCAUACUUAUGAGCAAUGUAAUGCUGAGUCCAAUUUCAAUAAACGAGAUCAGCAAAUCCAAAGUCAAGGAAAAAUUGAGGAGAUAAAUCAAAGACCUCAAGAUUCUCUAGUAAAUGAGUGGAAUGUGUCCAAGCCGUUCUUAUCAAGAGUCAAAAAAAGGAGAAAUGUCCAAUUCAACAAUUGGAUGAGCUUGAUGCGAAGGGCCAAUUUGAUCAAAUUACGGUGUCGUAAUGUGUGAAGUCUUGCUUGAGAAUGCUCCGGGCACCUGGCUAUAGAAGGAAGAAUAGAAAUUGCGAUAACAAAAUCCUAAUUCUAAUAGAAUACUAACAAUGCUCUAAUUACUCUAUAAUAAUGGUAAACAAACGUAAUCAAAUUCAAAAUAACUCAAAGAAAUUUCAAACAAAUAAUAAAAUUCUUAAAGAAAUAUUAGAAUGAUCACAAAUUUUACUCAAAUAUAUAUCAAUUCAACCUUAAUUUAAUUCUAGUUAAAACCCUAUUGAAUUUCACUCAACUUUAGACCAAAUCUAAUUAAAUCUUAAACCCUAAUAAUUCCUAAACCCUAAGUCAAAUCCUAAACAAAUCUUAAAUUAAAUCCUAUUCCAAAUCUUAAACCCUAAACCAAACCCUAAAUCAAACCCUAAAUCCUAAACCAAACCUUAAAUCAAAUCCUAACCAAAUCCUAAUCCAAACCCUAAAUCAAACCCUAACCAAUCCCUAAAUCAAACCCUAAUCAAACCCUAAACCCUAGUCCAAACCCUAAUCCAAAUCCUAAAUCAAAUCUUAACCAAACUCUAAACCCUAAUCCAAAUCCUAAUCCAACCUUAAAUUCUAAUCCAAAUCCUAAAUCCUAAACCAAACCUUAAAUCAAACCCUAACCAAAUCCUAAUCCAAAUCUUAAUCCAAUUCCUAAUCCAAAUCCUAAAUCAAAUCCUAACAAAACCCUAAAUCAAACCCUAAAAAAAUCCUAAAUCCUAGUCCAAACCCUAAUACAAAUCCUAAAUCAAA